rnacentral:lncRNA from 1 species
AAUCUAACAAUUACGAGUAAUGUCUUUGUGACAAGAACUUUCUUUGUCUUUUAUUCCCAUGUUUGAACUAGUAUAGGUCGGGGUUACACAUUAUGGUGCACAUCACUUUAUUUAUCAUCGUUACAUUGAACGCUCAUUGACUAAACAACGAUGAUCCAUCCAUCUUGUAUUGUAGGUCUUCAUUUCAUUGGCCACCGAUGCUUGUAAGACUAGUCUCAUAUGGUUGUUGUUGUGGAUAUGGUUGUUGAGGUUGGUGUGGUUGCUGGGGUUGCUGGGAAAUUGUUUGUUCUGGUUGCUGGGAUAAUUGUUGUUGGGGCUGUAGAAAUGGUUGUUGUGGUUGUUGGGGUAAUGGUUGUUGUGGUUGCAGGAUGGAUGGUUGUUGGGGUUGCUGGGGUUGGGGCUGGGGAAAUGAUUGUUGUGAUUGUUGGGGUUGCUGGGGAAAUGGUUGUUGCGGUCCUAGGAGGAAUGAUUAUUGUGGUUGUUGGGGGAAUGGUUGUUGNNNNNNNNNNNNNNNNNNNNNNNNNNNNNNNNNNNNNNNNNNNNNNNNNNNNNNNNNNNNNNNNNNNNNNNNNNNNNNNNNNNNNNNNNNNNNNNNNNNNNNNNNNNNNNNNNNNNNNNNNNNNNNNNNNNNNNNNNNNNNNNNNNNNNNNNNNNNNNNNNNNNNNNNNNNNNNNNNNNNNNNNNNNNNNNNNNNNNNNNNNNNNNNNNNNNNNNNNNNNNNNNNNNNNNNNNNNNNNNNNNNNNNNNNNNNNNNNNNNNNNNNNNNNNNNNNNNNNNNNNNNNNNNNNNNNNNNNNNNNNNNNNNNNNNNNNNNNNNNNNNNNNNNNNNNNNNNNNNNNNNNNNNNNNNNNNNNNNNNNNNNNNNNNNNNNNNNNNNNNNNNNNNNNNNNNNNNNNNNNNNNNNNNNNNNNNNNNNNNNNNNNNNNNNNNNNNNNNNNNNNNNNNNNNNNNUGCAGGGGGAAUGGUUGUUGGGGAAUUAUUUGUUCUGGUUGCUGGGGGAAUGGUAGUUGGGGCCGGGGAAAUGGUUGUUGGGGUUGCUGGGGGAAUGGCUGUUGUGGUUGCAGAGGGAAUGAUUGUUGGGUCUGGGGAAAUGGUUGUUGUGAUUGCUGGGAAAAUUGUUGUUGGGGUGUGGGAAAUGGUUGUUGCGAUGGAUAUGGUUGCUGUGAUGGAUAUGGUUGUUGUGGAUAUGGCUGUUGUAGAAAUGGUUGUUGUUGAUAGGAAAAUGAUUGUUGAGGUGAUUGUAAUUCUUUGUUGCUAGGGUUUAGCUGCCUAGCGGCAGUGGCGAUGUUCAUCGCCAUGGCAAGGAGGACAAAGAUGAGGAAGGUCUUCAUGUUGGAUUUGUGGUUACUACUGCUUGCUUGCUUUUGAUGCUUGUGGUCUAGGUGUGUGAAGUUUGGAUGAUGAAAUGUGGUCUUGGUGGUGCAUGUGUAUUUAUAGUUUUCAUGGCAUGGCUUGCUUUCUUCUUCCCACUCGCUUUUUGAAAAAGUGCACCAAUGCUUAUCCAACUAAUCAUUUGAUUUGUUGUGUUUGGUGCAACUACUUACUAGCAAGAUUUUGGAUUUUCAUGAUAGUUGCUUUUUGUUGAAAUCAUCUGGUUGUAAGGAAUGUUGGAUAAUGACCAAUGACUCAUCUUCUUCACUUUACACUGCAAACAUUGAUCUAAAUUAUAUCCUUUUUUGAAAUUUAGUUUGUGAAGCUCUACAUGUUGUUAGGCUUAUCUAUAUUGGCAUAGCUUGAGUGGAAUUAAGUUUGUAAGCUUGUGAGCGUCAUUAUGAUGGAUCACACUAUUAAUGUGAUGAUUGUACUACAAAUUAUCUUUCCAAAACUAAUUUUAUGUUUUUUCCCAAUAUGAUUCUAAGACGGAUAACCAGACAUGACUCAUCAAAUAACAAGAUAAACCGAGUAGCAAAUUGGGGUUAUAAGUUAUAACAUGGACUUUUCUCUAAGAUACACUAUCUUGUCUUGCAUGCUCUGUGAAUUUGAAAAGCAUCUACUAAUUUAUAUGCAAUUGAAACAAAAGUAGACCAGAAAGAUAAGCAAUGAAAUGAGAAUACUAUUAUGUGAAGCUCUACAUGUUUGGCAAGCAAUAAGAUACUGGAUACAUCUAUAUCUUCAAUCCUGACAAUUUUUCUCAUCCCUAUCAACUCUUUAUUGGCUGCCUUUACUGUAGUCAUCCCUUAAAUAAAAAUCACUUAAAGAUAAGUUUGGGAGCUAGUACCAGCAUCUAUCAUGUACAAGAUAAAAAACUAAGGCACAUAUAGUAGUCUAUUGACUAUAUUUAAUUUCAUGUGAUGUGAAAGCAUGUGGAGUAUAAGUUGGUUAAAUAUAAAAUUGUCCUUCAUACCAGUAGGGAAAGAAUAUGCAGUAUAAAGAUUAGAGCAUUAUUAAUAUGCUAUUAAAUGCUACAGGAUAAUCGAUAGUUCAAGUUAAGAACAACAAUAGCAUUCCAACUUUUGUUUUGUGCAAGUUAAGAACAUGCUAACAAAGUAACCUAAGCAAAUAAGUGCAACACCUUCACCUAUAAGGAAAUUUUGAAACUACACAAAAUGACCUAUUGUAAAGAAGGAAAAAAAUCUAAAGGUGAAUGAAAAGCAUGUUAAGUACAUUCAGGAUUCGGUUAUGCCUUCAUGGAUAACCUUUUAGAUGGUGACUUGUCAACCUUGAUGUGUGUCGGCAUGGAACGAGGACAAGAAGACAUCGUUACGUCGUACUUUGGGAAUUUCAUCAAACUGGUUGUGUGCGGGAACAAAUAUUUGUCGCCUCCCUGCUCAAAUCUCUCUUCAUGUCACUAAAUCCGACACUCCACCUACCAAAAUCAGCUGCAAGCCAGGGACAAUCAACAGGUUUCUCCGCCCGUAGCAUCUAUCACCAAAAGAAGUUCAGACUAUAGUCUUGUAGUUUAAAAUUUUGUAAUAACAAGCACUACUAGGUUGCUCUUGUUUGUACGUCUUCAUUAUGUACAACCCAUGGAACUUAAAAUGCAUGGGUCAUUCUUCGGUAUAUACAACCAAUGCAACCAAACAUGCAUUGGGCUUUUCUUUGUACAUCUUCAGGUUCUACAACCAAUGCAACAAAAAAUCCAUUGGGCAGUCUUCCAUUCUAGUCGGGCACCAAUAGUUAAACGAGGAGCUAAACAGUGUUGGAGUCUAAAACUACAUACAAUCAUGAAGCAGAGAGAUGCGACUUGGAAGUUGUGCUCCUGUGAGCUCGUAUUUUUGAAGAAAAAAGUAAUAUUUGUAUUUUGAAGUGGGAAAAAGUCCUAAAAAGGGAUGUUUUGCGGGUUAUAACUUACUAUUUUUGAGUCCUGGGCUGCAGGAAGGUCGUAAAAAAUCAAUGUGUUUUCCCAUUCAUGCAUGUUUCUUGGGUUAUAGGUCACGCUUUUGGUGUCCUAGGGAGAUCACUUCCCCAGUUGGGAACAUUAGGUGAUGAUUUUUAGCAAAACUCAUUGUUUUAGCCUAACUAGUUUCGAGGAUUGGUGGACAAGAUUAUCAUGGAACAAAGUGACAACCUUCCUUUUCUUCAUGCCUAAUAUAAACUUAGCAGUCAACUAAAAGUAACUAGCGAUAUCACAGAAUGUUUUUUUGUCAAAAGUAGAUACCACUUCAGGAUUCAACUCGGUUAGUUCAAUCAUAGACAUGUUAAGAGCAGGAUUUACAACUAACUGCAUAGGGAACAUCUCCUUUUAUCGCCCACUAUCUGUCUAUGCACUUUGGUUUUCCCGUAGCAGCACACAAAGCACUUUGUUAGUACCAAUAAUGUGCUCCAACUCUACACAUUAAUCAUCUUGAAUUCUUCUACUGAUGUCGAACAAUGUUAUAUCUUGAAUUCUUCUAACGAGUUCAGAUUAUACUACAUGGGCAAUUUAUCUGGUCCCUGAGAUGCAAGGUCGAUGAACAAUCGCUUCGUCUGAUGAUGAGGGAUUGUUUUUGCCUAAGAAACCAAUACAUGUAACUUCGACGCCAGAUUAAUAAUUGGUAAAACCCAAAUAAAUUAGAUCACGAGCUAAACCAUUUAAUUUUGUAUGCAUUUAAACUUUUGAUACAUAUGAGCUUGUUAAGAUGUUCGCAUAAACACCAUGGUGAUUUGAAGCAAGACAAAGUAAACUUGAACCGCUUGAGCCACUGACUUAAUAAGAACCUCCUUUCCCGUGGCAGAGAUCGUUUUUAAUACAUCCACUCACUUUGGUUCUCUUAUGAAAUCUAGAUUCCUUCGCUAAGGCUAUUGCUCCAGUAUUGUCACAAAAGAUUUUUGUUGGACCCGAUGCACUAGGUAUGACACCUAGAUCGGAUAUGAACUCCUUCAUCCCGACUCCUUCAUUUGCUACUUCCGAAGCAGCUAUGUACUCCUCUUCACAUGUAGAUCCCUCCACGACGCUUUGCUUGAAACUGCACCAACUGACAGCUCCACCAUUCAAUAUAAAUACGUAUCCGGUUUGUGACUUAGAGUCAUCCAGAUCAGUGUCAAAGCUUGCAUCAACGUAACCAUUUACAACGAGCUCUUUGUCACCUCCAUAAAUGAGAAACAUAUCCUUAGUCCUUUUCAGGUAUUUCAAGAUGUUCUUGACCGCUAUCCUAUGAUCCACUCCUGGAUUACUUUGGUACCUCCCUGCUAAACUGAUAGCAAGGCACACAUCUGGUCUGGUACAUAGCAUUGCAUACAUGAUAGAACCUAUUGCUGAAGCAUAGGGAAUGACUUUCAUUUUCUCUCUAUCUUCUGCAUUGGUCGGGCAUUGAGUCUAACUCAACUUCACACCUUGUAACACAGGCAAGAACCCUUUCUUUCCUUGAUCCAUUUUGAACUUCUUCAAAACUUUAUCAAGGUAUGUGCUUUGUGAAUGUCUAAUUAACCGUCUUGACCUAUCUUUAUAGAUCUUGAUGCCCAAUAUAUAAGCAGCUUCACCGAGGUCUUUCAUUGAAAAAUUCUUAUUCAAGUAUCCUUUUAUGCUAUCCAGAAAUUUCGUAUCAUUUUCGAUCAACAAUAUGUCAUCCACAUAUAAUAUCAGAAAUGCUACAAAGCUCCCACUCACUUUAUAAAGGCUUCUCCAAAAGUCUGUAUAAAACCAUAUGAUUUGAUCACACUAUCAAAAUGUAUAUUCCAACUCUGAGAGGCUUGCACCAAUCCAUAAAUGGAUCACUGGGCUUGCACACUUUGUUAACACCUUUUGGAUCGACAAAACCUUUUGGUUGCAUCAUAUACAACUCUUCUUUAAGAUAUCCAUUAAGAAAUGCAGUUUUGACAUCCAUUUGCCAAAUUUCAUAAUCAUAAAAUGCGGCAAUUGCUAACAUGAUUUGGACAGACUUAAGCAUCGCUACGGGUGAGAAGGUCUCAUCAUAAUCAACUCCUUGAACUUGUCGAAAACCUUUCGCAAAAAGUCGAGAUUUGUAGACAGUAACAUUACCAUCAUCGUCAGUCUUCUUCUUGAAGAUCCAUUUAUUCUCUAUGGCUUGCCGAUCAUCGGGAAAGUCAACCAAAGUCCACACUUUGUUCUCAUACAUGGAUCCCAUCUCAGAUUUCAUGGCCUCAAGCCAUUUCGAGGAAUCUGGGCUCAUCAUUGCUUCCUCAUAGUUUGUAGGUUCAUCAUGGUUGAGUAACAUGACCUCCAGAACAGGAUUACCAUACCACUCUUGUUGGGAAUAUGACUACCAGGUAUGACCCGCCCAGGAGGGGCCGGGUCAAUCCUAAUGGCGGGUUACUAAAAGAAGCUCAGUGAAUAUACAAGGCGAUAGUUUAUUAUAAGACUUGUAGUAGGACCAAGCCCAAAGGCGGGUUAAGGCCCAUAAUUGUAAACCGCCAUGUAUAAGAAAGAAUUGUAAAGAAAGGCAUGUAAGAGAAGUCACCGAGCCGGGCACGUUAUAUGAGCCGGCUGGGACUCUGUAGGCCGCCAGGCGUCAACCCGUGUAUAUAAGGGGACGACCCGGUGGCGGCUUAGGGCAAGUAACAUCAAAUCGAGAGCCAUGCAUAGCGUAUUUGCUCCCUGGUCAUCGAAACCUAGCAAUACCACAUCAACUGGACUAGGCUUUACCUUCACCGUAGGGGGCCGAACCAGUAUAAACCUUUCGUGUCCUUUGUCCCGAUUAACCCCUUUAAGCUUCCUAGUUGCGAUGGCUCCACGACUAAGUCCUUUCAGUAGGACAUCUGCCGUGACAAUUCCACGACAGUUGGCGCCCACCGUGGGGCCAUCGCACGAUGGAUUUGAGUUCUUGAAGGGCAGCUUCCAAGGGCUCAAGGGAUACGCUGUGGGCCGGAUAACCAAAAGUUGUCACAGCAAGCUCUACAUCGACGACGCAGGCUGGGGCCCCGAGGCUGGCUCAAUCGAGUACGGGUACCGGGUCCCCUUCGGCGGAAUCCACGUCUUCAUCGGCCGGAUCGGCGAGCCGGGCCCUGAGUCGGACAUCUGCACCGACCUCAUCGAGAUGGCUCAGCGAGUGAGACCUGCCCGGGCUCAACCUGCCGUGAGGCGUGCCUUCGUGGGUUGCAUCCAUGGAGGGGAAUUUUCUGAAGGAUCGAUGGACGGUGGUGAGACAGUCGUUUGCUCUAGCAGUGAGUCGUCCAUAGGCGAGACAGAUUCUUUGUAUCAGCUACAAGAUGGCGGGCUUGGGGGCUGUUCCGAUGGCAGUAGUAUUCCGGACCCCUCUGAGCCGCCGAAUCGAGCCGGAGUCUUCAUGGCUGGCACUCAACCUGGUUAGAAUUCUAUGGCUGCGGCAGCAAUAACCACUGGGUCAGCAGGGGCCGGGUCAGGAGACCCCGCGCGCCCACCGGCUCAGGUACUAAUGGACCUCAUGGAUAGGAUGACGGCCCUGUUGACUGCUGUGGUUGAGCCGGCAGAUAAGGCUCAGCAUGACGCAGAGGUAGCACAGCUACACAGAGAGGUAGCACAGGCCAAGGAAAAUUUAGUGGCGGAAGAUGUCAGGAUGGCCGCGGAACGGGCGGCUCUGGAUGCACGGGCUCGGCAGCUUCAAGCGAAGACUUUCUGGCUCUCGGUGGAUCUGAACGCAUCAAACGAGGUCACGAGGAGAAGGCACCAGAAGGCUCAAUCAUGUCUGCCUCUGACUUACGAUCCUAGGAACCUUUUUCACACACCCGGGACUGGUCCCAGUAACCCGCUGAAGGCAAACCGGAUCACAACACCCGGGACCGGGACGCCGGUUCAACCGCGGGCCAUGGAACCACCGCGUGUGAAUACUGCUCUGCCUCACUACACAGCGAUACCACCGGGUCACUUCUCUAACCCCUUGGAGAACCUUAUUGCUGCGUCGGCUCAUCUGGCGGCUCUCCCGAUGGAAGGUGACUCUUCGACGGCGAUCGAGACACGACGGGUCAGAGAACUUCUUCAGACGGCUCUGGCACAGCAGGAUGCAUAUUCUUAUAGUUGAGAUAGAAUCCAUUCAACCCCUCGCCCAAGCCGGAGCCCAAGCUAUAGCAGGCAUAUGGACUCGGCGGCCAUGUCAAGCAACACCCAGCGCCGUAACCAUCCACGUGGGCGUGACCCGGCCCCGGGCGGAGCUUGUAACUUGGUAGACCAGGAGAGGAUCCGUCAAGAGGCUGAACGGGUGGUUCAACAGGCGGCUGAGCAAGCGGCUCACCAAGCUUUUCCAAUUUAUACAGUGACCUCUGUUGAAGCAGGGGUGGCCACAAGGACAGGAGGAGUCCCUUGUCUUGUGCAGUCUCUGCGUAAUGAGCGUUUACCAAAGGACUUUAAGGGGCCUCGUAAGGUGCCCAAUUACACAGCCGACCUGCAGCCCGGAGCAUGGAUUGAAAGUUACGAGAUGGCCAUGGAGUUAUUAUAAGUCAGUGACGCAGCAAUGGCCAAAUACUUCACCAUGAUGUUGGAUGGAACAGCUCGUACUUGGUUAAAGGGGUUACCGCCCAACUCCAUCGGCUCAUGGGCGGAGUUGAAGGCACGGUUCAUUCAGAACUUUAAAGAUACCUGUAAACAGCCCAUGUCAAUCGUGGACUUGACUAACUGCAAGCAAGAGGAAGGCAAAUCCAUGACCCAUUGGGUGCGCCGGGUCAAGGAAAUAAUACAUUCAUCUGAUAAGAUGGAUGCCAGCUCCACGGUCUUAAUGUUGGAGAAAAAUUACCGUUUUGAACCUCUGAAACAGAAGCUGGGGCGGCUCAAGCAUGAUUGUAAUGACAUGGGCCAGUUGAUGGCGGCUCUGGUCAAAUAUGCUGACUCUGACAGUACCAAGGAUCCCAUGUCUGACGAAGAGAAGACGAGGAAGGGAAAGAAGAACGGCAACGGCAAGGGUCACCAGCAUAACCCGACAAAUCAAGGAGGUAAUAAACGCAAGGCUGACGAGUUUGUGGCUAACACCAAUGCACAUGGCAACAACCAAUGGCGCAAGGGGAGGCCACCUCCUCGGUCAGGCGGAUCAGGUCCCACCCUCGAGCAACUACUAAAUGAACCCUGUCCGGGACAUGGCACCCGGGAGAAGCCGGCUACCCAUCUGUGGAAGGAUUGUACGAUCAUGAAGGCUUUUAAGAAUUCUAACAUGUUUGAUGGUAACCACGGGCCUGCUGGCGGCUCAGGCGGUGGCGGUUUUCAUGGCCAAGGCCAUCCGGGUAGUCAAGGCGAUUAUAGUCAGCAAUCCGGCCAGGGCAGUCAGCAACAGCAGCAACAGCCCGUGUAUCAGAGUAACCCAAAACAGCUGAACAGUGGACAGUACCAUGUGUUUACCACCAGUUUGUGCAAGAGGGACCAGAAGCUUCAGAAGAGGGAUGUAAAUGCUAUUGAGCCGGCGGUUCCACGUUAUUUGAGAUGGUCUGAACAACCUAUUCUGUGGAGUAGGGAAGAUCACCCACCCCGGGUUGAUAAUCCGGGUCAUCUGGCUUUGGUGGUGGCGCCUCAGGUUGGUGGAUAUAAGUUCACUAAAGUGCUCAUGGACGGAGGCAGUAGCAUCAACGUCCUCUAUUAUGAGACGUUCUGUCGCAUGGGGUUGACUGAUAAGAGUCUUAAAACAUCCAACACUGUUUUUAUGGGGUAGUGCCUGGUAAGUCGGCGUACCCAGUUGGUAAAAUUGAGCUGGAAGUGGCCUUUGGAGAUGAGUAUGAUUCUAGGGCUGAGAAGCUAACUUUUGAAGUGGUUAAAAUCAAGAGCCCAUAUCACGCUCUGUUUGGACGGCCGGCUUAUGCUAAGUUCAUGGCCCGGCCGUGUUAUGUGUAUUUGCAGCUCAAAAUGUUGGGUUAUAAAGGCACUAUCAUAGUACAUGGAAGCCGGAAAAUAGCCCUGGAAUGUGAAGAAGGUGAUGCUGCAUAUGCCGAGUCUGUUUGUGCAACAGAGGAAUUGAAGUUUUAUAAGGAUAAUGUUGACCCGGCAAACAUGGCGUCUUUGAAGAAGCCAACUACGGAGCAUGAGCCGGCAUUGAAAUUCAAGUCCGCUGAUGACACCAAGAUGAUUGAUUUCGUGUCUGGCGACUCAUCCAGACACUUCAUUAUCAGUGCUAACUUGGAUCCAAAAUAGGAAAGCGUGCUCAUCGAGUUCAUCCAUGAGAACCGGGACAUCAUUGCAUGGAAGCCUUCUGACAUGCCGGGUGUUCCGAGAGAACUCGUUGAGCACACUCUCAAUAUUCAUCCAAAGUUUAAGAUGGUCGGGCAAUUUCUUCGGCGGUUUAACGAGGAAAGGUGCAAGGCCAUUGGAGAAGAGGUGGCCCGGCUCUUGGCGGCCGGGUUCAUUGUUGAAGUUUUUCACCCAGAGUGGUUGGCUAACUCGGUGCUUGUGCUUAAAAAGAACGGCACCUGGCGCAUGUGUGUGGAUUACACAAAUUUAAACAAGGCUCGUCCAGCUGAUCCUUUUGCUCUCCCUCGUAUUGAUCAAAUCAUUGAUGCUACGGAGGGUUGUGAGCGUUUGAGUUUUCUGGAUGCUUAUUCGGGUUAUCAUCAGAUCAAGAUGGCAGUUAAGGACCAGGAGAAAACAGCUUUCAUCACUCCGUUUGGAGCCUUCUGCUAUGUGUCUAUGCCUUUUGGGCUCAAGAGUGCCCACGCGACUUAUCAGCGGUGUGUACAAAAUUGCCUUCAUAAUCAGAUUGGGUGUAAUGUUCAUGCUUAUGUGGAUGAUAUAGUGGUGAAAUCCAGAGAGAAGGAAACCUUAGUAGCUGAUCUAAAGGAAACCUUUGGUAACCUCCGGGUCUACAAGAUGAUGCUUAACCCGGCCAAGUGUGUUUUUGGAGUCCCAGCUGGCAAGCUCUUGGGUUUUUUGGUGUCUAAUGGAGGCAUUGAGGCUAACUCGGAGAAAAUAAAGGCAACCACGUCUUUGGCUAAACCGGCAUGCAUCAAUGACGUUCAGCGGCUGGCGGGCCGUGUCGCAGCUUUAAGCCGGUUUAUAAGUCGGUUGGGCGAGAAGGCUAUGCCAUUGUAUCAAAUGAUGAAAAAGGUGGAUGACUUUGUAUGGAGUGACGCUGCUGAUUCCGCUUUUGAAGGUUUGAAAAGACAGCUUGCUGGGCCACCUAUUCUUGCUGCCCCCGUUGAGAAGGAGCCGCUAUUGUUAUAUGUGGCUGCUAACUCACAAGCCGUCGGCAUGGCCAUUAUUGUGGAGCGCAAGGAGGUUGGCAAGGAACAUCCAGUUCAAUGGCCGGUUUACUACGUCAGUGAGGUGCUCAUUGGAUCCAAGAAAAGAUACCCACAUUAGCAAAAACUUGUUUAUGGGGUGUUCAUGGCAAGCCGGAAGCUUAAGCAUUACUUCCAGGGUCAUCCUAUCACUGUGGUUAGCUCUGCUCCUUUAGGAGAUAUUAUUUAGAACAGAGAAGCCACAGGACGAGUCGCCAAGUGGGCCAUUGAGCUUGGGGUCUCAUAAUAUAAAGUAUGUGCCACGUACGGCUAUUAAGUCUCAAGCACUGGUGGACUUCAUUAAUGAUUGGACGGAGUUACAGACACCUGAAGAGAAGCCAGACAACACAUAUUGGACGAUUCAUUUCGAUGGGUCCAGGCAGUUGGAAGGCUCGGGGGCUGGAGUUGUGUUAACUUCUCCUCGAGGUGACAAGUUUUGUUAUGUGUUGCGAUUGAUGUUUCCUUGUACUAACAAUGCAGCAGAAUAUGGGGCCUUGCUCCAUGGUCUUCGAAUGGCUAAAGAGAUGAGUUUAAGACGGGUACGGUGCCUUGGCGACUCAGAUUUGGUGGCUCGGCAGGUGUCAGGCAAGUGGGAUUCCAAGGACCCUCUCAUGGCGGCUUAUCGCCGGGAAGUUGAUGAUGUUGUUGGACAUUUCAAAGGUUAUCAGGUGGAGCACAUUGACCGCAGAAAAAACAAAGCGGCUGAUGCUUUAAGCCGGUUGGGAUCACAGCGUAAGCUGGUGCCACCUAACACUUUUCUAGAUGUUCUUCAAAACCCUUCUGUCAAACUGCCUACAGAGGAAGAUUUGGUCAUUCCAGACCCGGAGGCACAGUUAGUAGCGGCUCUUCAUGUUAUUCCAGAUUGGACAUUACCGUAUUUGGCUUACAUGACCCGGGGUGAGUUGCCAGAGGAUGAGACCUUGGCUCGACAGAUAACCCGACGGUCUAAGUCAAUGACAAUUUCCAAUGGUGAGUUGUAUCAUCGCAGCGUCACUGGAGUGUUUCAACGUUGUGUCUCUCCCGAAGAAGGUCAAGAAAUUCUUCGUGAGAUCCAUGAAGGGGAUUGUGGUCAUCACGCUGGUUCAAAGUCUCUUGUGGCUAAAGCUUUUCGUCAUUGUUUUUACUGGCUAACGGCUCACGCUGAUGCAGAGGAUCUGGUCAGUAGGUGUGAUGGGUGUCAAAAAUUUGCACGACGAGCGCACGUGCCGGCUUAAGAAUUGCGGAUGAUUCCAAUCACUUGGCCGUUUGCAGUCUGGGGGCUUGACAUGGUUGGACCUUUUAAAAGAUCCAAGGAUAAAAAGACACAUCUUUUGGUGGUAGUUCACAAAUUUACAAAAUGGGUUGAGGCAGAGCCGGUUAGUAAGUGUGAUGCAGCCACGAUGGUUCAGUUCAUGAAAAAGGUGAUCUUUCGUUUUGGCUUUCCACAUAGCAUUAUAACUGACAAUGGUACUAAUCUGUCCAAAGGCAACAUGGAGGAGUUUUGUCAAUGUGAGCAUAUCCGGCUUGAUGUUUUGUCUGUAGCUCACCCCCAAUCCAAUGGUCAAGCUGAGAGAGCAAAUCAGGAAAUCCUAAAAGGUCUCAAGCCCGACUUAUGGUUCGUUUACAACGGACGCCGGGUUGUUGGGUGGAGGAAUUACCCUCGGUGCUGUGGAGUAUCAAUACCACUCCUAACAGAUCUACAGGUUAUACACCUUUCUUCAUGGUUUAUGGAGCAGAAGCAGUUCUGCCUAGUGACAUCCGUCAUGACUCACCUCGCGUGGCGGCCUAUGUUGAAGCUGAUAAUGAACAAGCCCGACAGGAUGCACUUGACUUGUUAGAUGAGGAGAGAGAUUUGGCAGUGGCUCAAUCAGCAAUUUAUCAACAAGACUUGCGCCGUUAUCACAGCCGCCGGGUUAAGUCCAGAACCUUUCAAGAAGGUGACCUAGUGCUCCGGCUCAUCCAGGAUCUGUCUGAUGCACACAAGCUAUCCCCGCCUUGGGAAGGACCCUUUGUGGUCAACAAGAACUUAAACAAUGGGUCAUAUUACCUCAUUGAUGUUCGAGAGCACAAAGACCCACGUAAGUCGGAGGAGGAGACCCGCCGGCCGUGGAACAUCGCUCAGCUUCGGCCAUACUACACUUAAACCAUCGGCUCUCAUCAUGUACAUACUUUGACGUUGUAUAUAAUAUGAUAAGUAAUAAAGCAGGACCUCUGUCCUUUUUCCCCUUCAAUGAUCAUAUAUCUUUAUUAUUUUCAUUAUUUAAAAUGACCAUUAGGGGGCUGAUCGUAUCCGAAUCUAGCUUAACCCUUUUGGUCCGGCUCAUGAUCGUAUUCGAAUCUAGCCGUAAAACUCAUGGUCACUUGGGGGCUUCCUGUUCAAACAUAGGUCGUAUUCGAACCAAAGAGAACAUAGCUGUCGUAACCCUCUUGAUCGGCUCAAAGCCAAACUCACUAGGGGGCUUCUUGAUCGUAUCUGAAUCAUAGCUUAACCCCUUUUUGGGUCCAACUUGGAUCGUAUUCGAAUCAGGGUCGUUAAAAACCUCUCAAGGUCAUUUGGGGGCUUCCUAUUCAAACAUAGGUCGUAUUCGAACCAAAGAGAACAUAGCUGUCGGUACCCUCUUGAUCGGCGCAACGCCAAAGCCACUGGGGGCUAUAUGAUCGUAUCCGAAUCUUAGCUUAACCCCUUUGGUCCGGUUUACUGAUCGUAUUCGAAUUAGAAGCCUCCAGUUUUUAUUUAAAUGUUUGAUUUACAUUGUCUGAAGCCUAGUGUUUUAUCUUACUAUUUUUAUCGUCUCAAAUCUAACUGUUAGUAUGGUUUCAAAUUAAACCGGCUUGGCUAUUUGACAAUGUGUCGCCAAGGCAUAACAGUCAUCAGACAUAUGGAAGUAUUGACUUCUAAAAAAGAUUGGGUUAUCAACCUCAUCAUCCGGGUCAUGUAAACCGACAGUCCAUGUUCAAAAACCACAGGUAUGACAGUGUCAUUCAUGAACAGACUUCCCUGGGUUUUUCGUCAGUCAAAGGAUUUUUCAGCCUUGUUUAUCUUACAUCUGGUUCUAUUUUUUCCACUAUGAUAAUUUCAUAAUCAUGUACCGGGUGUUUUGACCCGUCCGGUGCUAAGCCACCGGGACAGUUUUUUUCAUCUUUUACAGGAACAGAGUUAAAACAUUACAGAUGUAACCACGAUGUAAUGCAUAUAUAUAUUGACAUCAUGGGCAAAGAGUCAUAUGAAACAUCUUAUGCACGAUGGCAUAGGCAAAAUAUGCAAUUUUCAAACUAACCUAUUACAAGGCAUUGAGAGCCCAAAAGGUUAAACGGUUUUCUCUCUUAAGCAGGUCUUAAGCUAAAAACUGGAUUGUUCAGAUGGUUAUGACUCCUCCCUGGCCGUUUCACCUCCCUCCACUGGUUGGAAGCUGGGAUUGGACCAGUCAAAGCCGUUCAGAGCAAUGAACUCAGCCUCAUCGUCAAUUAGGCCGGCCGGGUCAAUUUGCAGGGCAAAAGUGUGUUGACGAACCGGCGGGAUAAGAUCCAUCACUUUAUAAGAGGGAGUCGCCAUCUUUUUAUUCUCCAUAUCAAAACCCGACUGAUAUUUUUCGAUGUUGGUCUCCUCACCAAGAAUGGUAGCCUGAGGACGAACUCCCCUCACACAAGCAAUAAAGUCAUCUUGCUCAAACGGAGUCCCGUCUUCCUUCAUGGUAGGGUACCCCUUAGCCACGUCCACCGGGUGUAAAUCGGGCACCCAGGCUUUGGAGCGGCUCAGGGCAGUCAGGGCUCCGACUCUGGCACAAGAUCGUUUGACCUCUUGAAAUCUGGCGGGUAAGAUCGAUAACUUCUUCAAAACAUCACUUAAACGGUUGGGUCCUUGGUUGGCAGGGGAUAUAUAUAGUAGAAAGUGCUCGUUGAGCACCAGUGUACAGUUGCUCCACCAAGGUAUAAACCGCCUUCAGUUUUGUCACACUAUCUUGACUCAGAUAUUUUACUUCGUGGACCUGUGAGUACUUUUUAACAAAGGCUCAGCAGGCGGCUUAUAUUUCUGGUUAAAAUAAAGUAUAAGUGACUAAUGCAAAUGACUUACCAAAGAUGGCGGAGACCAUUUGAUACACACGGUUUUUUAAGCCGGUGAGCUCCAUGGUAACCUCCUCAAGAGUCGCCUCUGCUGUCUUGGCACGUUGUGUCAGCAAGGUCUUCUCAUCGGCCCAGGAUUUCUUCUUCUCAGUCACACUGGUCUUCAAUUUUUCAGUUUUAGAGAGACUCAAUUGGAGUUUGGAGUUAGCAGUCUUUAUCUCCGCUUCUUGAUCCGCCAGCCGGGUCUUUGCAUCCGUCAAUUGAGAUCCCAAUUCAGUUAGGGCGGUCUACAAACAUGCAUAGGUGUGUCAAAAUUUAAACACAAGUUAUAUUGAUUAAAGUCGCGAGUGCUUUGCAACGCAACACCACUUGGCACUUGGGGGCUAAUGUCUGCCAAAGCAAUUUUAUGCAAAAUGACUCUUCUAUGUUUCAAGUCCCAAGUGUUUUACAAAGUAACAACGCUUGGCACUUGGGGGCUAAUGCAUGAUAUUCAGAAAGUUUUUCAAGAUGAGCCGGAUCACACUACUUAUUUGGACUAAUCUAAGACAGUUAUGAAGUUAAGUACCGGGUCAUUUAUGAUAAAUUGAGCCGGCCCUUGGGGACUACAUGUGAAGUUUAUACUAAUCCGUUGAACUUAGGAAAAAUCUAAAGACAAGGUAUCAACCUAUAUCAUAAGUCUACAGAUCAUUCAGGUUCAUCAUAAUCUGAAGACUUGGGGGCUGGCAGAGUAUAUAUAAACCGGAGAACGUACCUCAUAUUCUGUAACAUCCCAAAUUUUCAAUUUGGAAUGUUACACGUUAGGUCAUCAUGCAUAUCAUAUUUUAUUUUUCUUUUGGUUUUGAUCCUAGAAAAUCCUAAGCAACUCAAGGACCCACGGAGAGAGUUGGGGAUUUCAUUAUUUACAUAUUUGAGUUUUCUCAAAUUAUGUAAACAGGAUCAUUUGAUUUUAUUUAUUCUAUCAUCAAUUAUUUCUAUUACAAAAAUAUGAGAGAGGGAAUAAAAUGACUUUUCCAAAAUAUAGAAAUAUUGAGGAUUUAAUAAAAAAUCAAAUAAGUUUUAUUUCGGAGUUUUUUGGUAUUUUUAUUUGAAUUUAGGAAAAAUGCGCGUUUUUCAAAUUGUAGUUUGGGCCCAGAUAAAUGUUCACUUUAUCGGGCUUGAUUUUAGGAACCCGGCAAAAUUUAUUUCGUGAUUUUUGGAGUCCGUUUAGUAUUUCUUUUUAUUUUUCUUCCGAGCGGAUUUAAAAAAAAACUAGAACCGACUCCGUGCCGUAACCGGCCAGGAAACCUCCGCCCGGGGCCUUUAUAUAGCGCCCGAACCGGCCGAGAGAGAGAGAGAGGCCCGAAGCCAGCUAACCCUAACCCUAGCUAAGCCGCCGCCGCCUCCCAGCCGUCGCCGCCCGCCGCUGCCGACUCGCCGGAGCGCGCGCCUUUCGAGGUUCGCCGCCGCCUCGUUUUCCGUGAAGUUUUUUUUUAAAAAAAAAAUCUGUUCGUCGUUUUUCUUUUUCGUCGGAUUUUCCGCGGUUAUUUUCUGAUCGCGAUUUCUGAUCCGGUUUUCGUUUUAGUAUAACUUUUCGCUCGUUUAUCGGAAUCAGGCGAUUCAAGCGCCUGGAGUUUCGUCUCGAAACCCUCUUUCCGAAUAAUCAACUUAAACAAGUUUUUGCUACUGUAAAAUUUGCCCUAGAUCCAGAUUACUAGAAGGAAGUUGUUUUUUUUGCCGUUUGAUUUCUUUCGCUUCGUUCGAUUUGAUUCUUUUGCCAACCAGGGUUCUUAAGUUGAACUUUCUGGUUAGAUCUUCUAUUUGAGUUUUACUUGUGCAUUAGAUGAGUACUUAUUGUAUGCUUGAUGUUUGUCUGUGAUAGAAUACCCGGAGUGCGCCGCCUGUUACUUCGAAUCUCUAGGUUUCGCGGAUCAUCAGCAAGGCAAGUAACACUUUGAUCAUACCUUUUCUACAACCCAGUUUUAUUGCAUUAGAUCAAUCCUCACACAUUGCAUGAUUAGGAUCUAAUUAAAUUGUGGGAUGGGAAGUAGAUGAGGUAGUACCUAUUACCUGUUUAUUAUCAAACCUUUGGGAGUUACUUCUACGUUUGCUUAUGCCAUGUUAUGCCGGUAGACGUGGAUUGGGUGAGUGAUAUCCAUGACAGAUGUGAGAUUUAUAAUUAAGGGUUAUCUAAGGUGGCAACCUAACACACAUCUGGGUGGAUUGAGGCACCUGGGGUUACCAGGACUUGCCUGUUUUCUUUUGGACCGCCACCCAGGCCCAAAGGGAUCAUGAGAUUUUUCAUACUAGAAACUUCCGUGUGCAGCCACAAGCCAUUAUGGGCUCUGGCAUAGUUGACUAAGUUGUGCGAACUCUUACAGUGGUAGACUAGCAGAUGUAGGGGAAAGUAGGUGUACCGGUCUACCCGUCGUAAGGUGCUAGCGCUUCUGAAAGACUGUGUCUCGGUCAUCCGUUUCUCAAACACCUUGUAGUGCGAGAAACCAAACGGAGGUGAUCGAGUCUUGUGGGGAAAAGUGCGCAAACCUCUGCAGAGUGUAACAAACUAAUCAUGGUUAGCCGUGUCCCUGAUUAUGGACAUCUUGAGUAUCUAUUACCUGGAUUAUCAUGUGAAUCUCAACAUGUUACUCUAAAAUUAAUUUUGUGGGAUUUUAAUGAUGUUACUUAAUUGGGAUUGAGGAUGCUGUCAACCAUUCUCAAUGUUUAACAACCACCAUGAUAGUAAUUAAUUUUAUUCCUUUGAAGUAGGGAAAAAUUGGCUUUACGCAAAAACUGUAACCAUAGAGCUUUCCACCAGCCAAAUAUGCAUAUAGUAUAGUUGUUGCAUUCCAUUACUCUCUAUGUGUUACCUUGCCAGCAUAUUCCAUGUGCUGACCCGUUUCGGGCUGCAACGUUAAUGUUGCAGACUUUUCAGAUGACGAUUGAGGAAUUUUAGGUCGUGGUUCUAUACUCAGUGAUGCCGUUGGAGUUGAUGGACUCACUUAUCUUCCAAGCCUUCCGCUGUUAUCGUUAUUAGAUGGCCUUAAGCCAUAUUUAUUGUAAUAAGUUCUCUUUUGAGACACUCGAUGUAAUAAGUGUGUGAUUGCUACUCUGCUAUAAAUCCUCCGAGUACUGUGUGGUGUCAGCAUUACUGAUCCAAGGAUGACAUCGGAGCACAGAGAUCAGACUGUUUAAGGUCUGGUCGCUACAUAUUCCAGUUGCAAUUGCUUGACCAUCUCAAUUUCCGAGUCACGGCUGGAAUGCACAGGACUGAGAUAGCCGGACAGCAUGUCACUAACAUUCAGAUGAGCAUAGUGAGAGAUAUCAAAUUGUACUUUCUGUCUUUCCAAGGCCUCCUGUUUAGCAGAAUGCCUGGCCAGCACAGUCGGAUUACCCGGCGCAACAAAUCUGCUGCCAGUGAUCAAAACGUCAUGGUCAGAAGAUGCUGGCAGGUUAGCUGAACCGGACGGUCUGACGGUGGAUGGAUCGACAAUGGUUUCGUCAGCUGACGGCUCAGGAGGGUCCAAUUGAGCAUGGACAGCUAAAUCUUCUGGCGCUUCAGAUUGAGUGGGAGGAGUUGAUGUUGCCAGUUCAGGUGCAGGAUUUUUUGGGUCCUCUGCCGGUUUAAUCACCUUGGCUUUCUUGGACUUUGCUUGACCGCUAAGAAAGAUUUUUAUGAAAUAGUUAGUAUAAUGAUGCAGUUUUAAAAAUGUAGAGGAAAGAUGAUUUUCCUUACCCAUGGGCAGUCUUGAAAGCCGGAAAUUGAGUUUGGGAUGAGUCGCCAGAAGAGCGAGAGACCUCCUGCAAAGGUAAAAUAAAGUUAAGAAUAUAAGGAAAUAAAUUCAUGGAUAAAAACAAAGGACAAAGGUGAAAGAAACCUCAUUCUGGCGUUUUUGAGGAGUUUUUUCUAAGUCGAAAGGUGGUUCAUCAUCAUCAUUAGUCCGGGCCAGAUGGCGGCUCUCAUGUUGCUGCUUUUUCAAAAGAAAAUGAGGGUCCAAAUAAGCCAAAGGGUGCAAAAACCUUACUUUCCGGGUUACCAGUCGAAGUUUCUGUCUCGGCAAAGGGGCUGAGUCGUAGGAAAUAGUUACCUCUUCUUCCGCGGCCUGGCUGGCCCCCGUGUCAUCCUGGCAAUAGUCAGUGUCAAUAAGAUAGUUGAAAAUUUGGCCAAGGGAGAAAGGGCUACCUCCGACUCAGAAACAUCAUCAAGCUGGAAGAUGUCAGAUGCAGUCUUCUUCUUGGGCUUCCGGGUCGUUCUCUUGGCGGCUACGGCAGCGGAUCUAGCCUUCUUGGUAGCUUCAUGAUCAUACUUGGCCUUCCAGAAGUCAGAUUUGUCCUGUAAACAAAUAAAGAGGUUAAAAGGUCAUGCAAGUAUUUAAACUACUGAGGUAAACACAAAAAGAGAAAAAGGUCAAGAAGUUACCUCUGGUGUCGGGUUAAGUUUGCAGAAGGGGUUUAAUCCAACCUUGCUGUAGUCCUCGUAUUUGCCAUUCACGAGGAUGGUAGACAUUGCAACAAUGUCUUCUUCAGUUAAUUGUACAGAGCUAUAACGCAGAGAAUCAUUUGGGCCUCCGCCAUACUUAUACAUCAACUUGGAUCGGCGGCUUAGAGGGAUGACCCGCCAUGAGAUCCAGCAAUGGAUCAGGUCAACUCCGGUUAAGCCAUUUCCCAAUAAAGCUUGAAUCCUUUUGACAGAUGGGAUAAGCUUCUUGCGUUCAGCAGUAGUAAGCUUGUCAGGGAGCACAAACUUGGAAUCAAGACGCUCUUCACGAUAACCCGGCAGUGGUUUUUCAUCAGCCGGUGAUGUAUCUUGGCAGUAGAACCAGGUUUGCUUCCAGUCUUUGGGAUGGCUCGGUAAGACCACUAAAGGAAAAACGGCACCUUGUCAGCGUUGAAUUGAAAUUCUGCCAAGUUCCAAGCUAAGGCCGUUGGUGCACUCAUUCUGGCGGUUCAAGUAAAAGUACUCUCUAAAGAGCUCCACAGUUGGUUCUUCUUGAAGAUAUACCUCACAAAGAACUUGAAAAUUGCAGAUGUUGGAUAUAGGGUUGGGUCCAAUAUCUUGUGGAUGAAGCUUGAAAAAAUGCAGGACAUCUUGGACGAACUUUGAGCCGGGUGGUGAGAAGCCCCGGUUCAUGUGAUCUGUGAAAACGAUAACUUCGCCGUCUUUGGACUAAGGUCGUUCUUCGUCCGGGUCAGGAGCACGAUAAGACAUAACGCUUUUCUCUGGCAAAAAUCCAAUGGUGACAAAUUAUUUCAAGGUAUCUUCAGUAACUGUGGAAGGCACCCGGUUGCAGACAGUUGGCGCUUUUGACGGCAUGAUGAAGAAAGGGCAAGCUGAAAAGAAAGUAAUUUGCCGGUUCAAUUUAUUGGUGGAGUUACAGGUUCAUGAUUAUAGUACAGAUGAGUAAUGGCGGCUUAAGUAAGGGCUAAUGACAUGUAAAGGAAAAAUAAGCCGGAGUCAUAAGCCGCCAUGACUAAAAAGUAUUUGAAGGUUGCCAGAAUCAAAAUUGACUAAAGUGUUGAGACAAACAGGUUUCCCAAGUUGUGGCUAUUAUUAUGGAUCAAAAUGGUUCAGAAAAUAAAAAUAAAGUUAGACCUAGAAAACGAGCACAGAGGAGUUUGUCAGCUCUAAAGAGGCAUUUAUACAGGAGAAGGGGAUCUGUUAGCUUCAAAAAUGGAUGAGAAAUAGCUACCUCAUAAGUUUUGUACUACUUUUAGAUCAAAAGAGGGUGCGGUAAGAGAAGUUGCAACGAAUCUAUGACGAACAACGAAGAACACAAGAAGGAAACCUCCCGAACCCUAAUGCAGAUCUAUGGGGGUGAGAAGGUGAGAGCUUACAGGUGCGGAGCUGCUGCGGAGGAUCGCCACCGUUCUCUGGAUAGACUCAGGGUGAUGCUGCGGCCAGAGUUGAGGACGACGGUGCGCUACGGUGGCGACGGAGCUCGAGCGGCAAAGAAGGUGCGAGAGGAAGAAGAAAGAGGAAGGACUGGCCGAGCCUAUUUAUAAGGGGGUAAGUGAACGGGCAGACGCAAAAAUUGAGGAAGACCAAAGUAAUGAUUAUCCAGCUAAAUGGACGCCUCGAUCUUCGGAAAACAUUUAAGAUAAGGAUCCGUUGAAGAUGAAAUCGUGGUGUUUUUCCAAAUUUUUUCAAUCCUAAUGGUUGGUUAAUAAAAUAAGCUCAGUGAAUAUACAAGGCGAUAGUUUAUUAUAAGACUUGUAGUAGGCCCAAGCCCAAAGGCGGUUUAAGGCCCAUAAUUGUAAACCGCCAUGUAUAAGAAAGACUUGUAAAGAAAGGCAUGUAAGAGAAGUCACCGAGCCGAACACGUUAUAUGAGCCGGCCGGGACUCUGUAGGCUGCCAGGCGUCAACCCAUGUAUAUAAGGGGAUGACCCGGUGGCUGCUUAGGACAAGUAACAUCAAAUCAAGAGCCAUGCAUAGCGUAUUUGCUCCCUGAUCAUCGAAACCUAGCAAUAUCACAUCAACUGGACUAGGCUUUACCUUCACCGUAAGGGGCCGAACCAGUAUAAACCUUUCGUGUCCUUUGUCCCGAUUAACCCCUUUAAGCUUCCUAGUUGCGAUGGCUCCACGGCUAAGUCCUUUCACUAGGACAUCAUCCGUGACAAUUCCACGACAACUCUGGUGCGGAUCUUACUAUGGUUGACCUACGAGGUUCAGCGGUAACUUGAUCUGAAGUUUCAUGAUCAUCAUCAUUAGCUUCCUCACUAAUUGGUGUAGGAAUCACUGGAACUAAUUUCUGUGAUGAACUACUUACCAAUUCGGGAGCAGGUACAAUUGCCUCAUCAAGUUCUACUUUCCUCCCACUCACUUCUUUCGAGAGAAAGUCCUUCUCUAGAAAGGAUCCUUUCUUAGCAACGAAUAUAUUGCCUUCGGAUCUGUGAUAGAAGGUGUACCCAACAGUCUCCUUUGGGUAUCCUAUGAAGACACAUUUCUAUGAUUUGGGUUCGAGCUUAUCAGGUUGAAGCUUUUUCACAUAAGCAUCACAGCCCCAAACUUUAAGAAACGACAACUUAGGUUUCUUGCCAAACCACAGUUCAUAUGGUAUCAUCUCAACGGAUUUAGAUGGUGCCCUAUUUAAAGUGAAUGCAGUCUGAAAGUGCGUUAUAUCGACUAGAGGGGGGGUGAAUAGGCGAUUUUUAUGAAAGUCUUCAAAACAUGGAAGUUUCGAAGACAAACGAUAGAAAUAAACCUAUUACCAUGCAGUGGAAGUUAGACUACACUAGAUAAACCGUAGUCAUGUAUUCAAUGAAGUGAAAGGACAAUGACUAAUAGUAGCUAGGUAGUAAGGAUCAGGCAGGAAGAUAUUAAGAAGCCAAACGGAUCACACAGUCACUCAGUGAAGACAAAAGAUAGAGAAAACAUACAAUGACUUCACACAGAGUAACAGUAAGUAAAGAGAAGGGAAGGAUGAAACCAGUGACUCGUUGAAGACAAAGAUUUGUUGGACCAGUUCCAGUUGCUGUGACAACUGUACGUCUGGUUAGGGCGGCUAGGUAUUUAAACCAAAGGACACACAGUCCCGGACACCCAGUCCUGAACACGCAGCUCAGGACAUCCAGUCCUCACCGUAUUCCCCUUGAGCUAAGGUCACACAGACCUCGCCCAAUCACUCUGGUAAGUCUUCAAGGUAGACUCCCAAACCUUCACAGACUUCGUUCACCGGCAAUCCACAAUGUCUCUUGGAUGCUCAGAACGCGAUGCCUAACCAGCUGGAGGAUGCACAGUCCUCAAGUGUAAUAAGUCUUCAGAUCACUCAGACAAGAAGACUUAAGUGAUGCCUAAUUCUCUUUCGCUCUGGGUGGUUAGGGCUUUAUCCUCGCAAGGAAUUCUCUCUCAAAGGCUUCGAGGUGGGUUGCUCUCAAACGACAAAAGCCGUACUUUGAAUCUGAGUAGCCAACCGUUUAUGGUUGUAGGGGGUGGGCUAUUUAUAGCCACUAGGCAACCCGACCUGAUUUGUCCGAAAUGACCCUGGGUCACUAAGGAACUAACAUGUGUUCCAACGGUCAAAUUUCAAACUCACACGGAAACUUUACUUGGGCUACAAGCAAAGCUGACUUGUCCGACUCUGGACAAGAUUUUCUCUCAUAGUCUUCACUCGAAGACAUAGGUUUUUGUUUAAGCAUCACUUUAGUCAUUCUGACUGGCUCUCUUGGACCCCACUUAACAGUAUGUUGGUUCCUAUGACUCAACACAGAAGAAAAAGAACUACGAAAAAUCUAAGUGUUCAAGCUCCAUAGGCUUCAUGCGGUGUCUUCUCUUGUCAUAGUCUUCAAUGUGAAUAUCUUCAUAUACCACCUUUGACAUCAAUGUCUUCAUACACUUUUAGGGGUCAUCUCUGGUGGGAAAACCGAAUCAAUGAGGUACUUCUACCUGUGUUAUCCUGCAAUUCUCACAAACACAUUAGUCCCUCAACUAGGUUUGUCGUCAAUACUCCAAAACCAACUAGGGGUGGCACUAGAUGCACUUACAAUCUCCCCCCUUUUGGUGAUUGAUGACAAACUAGUUGAAGUUUUCAACGGGGAAUAUAAUGUGUGAAAUUGUAAAGGAUAAGGAAUUGUCUUCAUAAGUUACAAGGGCUCCCCCUGAAGAUGUGCAUAUAAGUAAUUUGCUUUUGGAAUGCAAAUGCACAUGGCAGGUUGUGCUUGUGGAGAUCCACUUCAACUUAUGAUGACAAUCCACUAUGCAUGUGAAAGUAUGUGAAGAUAAUGACAUGCAUAAUGGAAAAUGGAUGUCUGCAGAAUGAUCUAAGUGCGGAAUCUAUCAUCGCACAUGCGGAAUUUAUCAUCACAACACAAGGUAGCAAAUAGGUAGCAGACGACCAUCAAGUUUAAGUGUUACAACUCAAAGAACCAAAUGUUUCAAAACGAGAGUUGUAAGCACGAAGCAAAAUAUAAAACACCCGCCCAUAUGGACCCAUUUGAAGACUAUCAAACUCAUAUGCUUCUCCCCCUUUUGACAGUAAGGACCAAAAAGGUUUGAAGACAUAGAGCCUCUACUCGUUCCCAUGAGGAGUAGGUGAAGCAGCAGGAUCGUUGAUGGUGUUUGGCAGUGCAGACGAGCUUGGAGCAGUGUCGACGUGUGCUGAAGGAGGCGGCGAAGAAGUAGCAUCGUCUUCAUCCUCGAUCACUCUGGCAUUCACGGUUGCAGUAGAGGAAGAGAACUCAGGGUCUUCAAGUGAUGGAGUUCGUCGCAGCACAGCCCUGCGAGGAGGUGUGGAGUCAAACUUGAAGCGCUCAGUGAAGCCAUCCUCUUGCAGAUCAUCUUCAGAACACAGCAGCGUCAGCCCUUUCCAUGUGCGUCGAGAUGUUUCAUGAGCAACAAAGGCGUUCUUGGUGGCAAGAUUGUGAAUGCGAUUAACAUCCACCAAGAGGCUUUGCAUUUGACGCUUUAGCCAGUCAUGAUGCCUAUCCUGUUUCUGAUGAAGGGCCACCAGAAGCUCUCGGUCAUUGAGGACACGAGUGCGCUUCUUGGGUCGUUGAGCAAUGGUGCUAUCAGUGGCUUCAGUAAGAGCAGGAUGCGGGGCACGGGUAGUGCCAGCCAAAGGAUACACACGUGUUACUGCUUCAAUGCCUUCAACGUUCCGAGAGAAACUUUGAUGCUCUGCAUUCUGAAGACUUAGAGGUUCCUUGGCAGGCUCAGGAUAUAUGGCUUCAAUAGACAUAUCCACAUCAGGCAAAAAGAUCCGAUGAUUGCGGGCAGAUGGCUGAUAUGAGAUAGCAGAGUGAAGUUUGAUCAGCCGCAUCACCCAAGGGGCGUAGAACUUCAACCCAAAUAGAUCAGAGCCAGAUGCAGCAAGUUGGCGAAUGAAGAAAUCCUAUGUAUUGAAGCAUUUUCCAUGAAGAAUAUAGAAGACCAAAGUCUUCAUUGCACCUUCCAGCUGGGCAUGGGGAGAAUGUCCUUUGAUUGGCCAGAGAGUUCGCCUUAUGAUAUGAUAAAUGGUCCUUGGCAGAUACUCAAGGUCUUCAACAAAGAACUCCGUGGGAUAAGCAGCAUCUUGGGGCAAUGGCUUCAUCAUACUGAGCAUCUGACUCAUAUUGGGUUCAGUCUUCUGAAAGAUGCUCUCAACAGCUUCAAUGUGAAGCUGACAGCCAUGCUCAUAGAGAUCGCCAGGAGUGGGCAAGCCAGUGAGCUCAAUGAUGUCAAAGACUUUGGCUUCGUGAUGAACAUUUCCAGUCAUCCACUCUAGGACCCAAGUCUUUGGAUCUCUGUUAUACCCGCGGAUGUGAAGUGUGGCAUAGAACUGGAGCAGCAACUCUUCAUUCCAAUGCUCUUGGUCAGUGACGAAUGGUAGCAGCCCAACUUCAUUGAAGCAAUCCAAAGCUUCUUCCAGACAGGCAGACCAGCUAUAGCUUCAAUGUCAAGGCGCUUGUGUGGGAAGAUGCGACCUUUGUUGUAAAGAAUGCAUGAGUAAUAGCUUCGCUGCUGAUAGCUCCAGAACCGAUCAGAUGAUAUUCUUUCCCUGGAGUAGGGGUUCCUGGAGCUAUUGAAGAAUGUGUUGUCUGCUCUGAAGCCAUUGAUGUUAAAGGAGCCAGGUGCUAAUGCAGGACCUGGGAACCUGGGCAAUCUUGGGAUUGGCUUCUGGACCUGAGGCCUGUGCUCAACAUGAUAGUCGAAUUGGGGACCGGCAGCAGACGCAGGAACAGGAGCAGCAGGAUUAGUGGCUUCGCUGACUUCUGGUGCUGUUGGGGGUGAGGGCUCCACAUUAGCUUCAGCCAUGACGGUGUCAGUGGCUUCAGUGGUGUUGGUGGUGGCAGCCUCUAGAUUUUCAACCUCCACUUGACGAGCUGGAGGGUCGGUCAUGAUCACGUUCUCCUCGAGAACCGCUUCUUGGUGGGGCAGGGGAGUAGCAGCUUGUGGAACUUCUUCUUCCGUGGCUGAUGCAGCUAGAUUGUCUUCAGCAGAGACUUGAGGCCUUGGACCUUUGUGAAGCCUGCGCAACGCGGGCGAUGCCUGUGGAGCUGGAGUGGGCUGGGCCUCAUAGUCUUCUUCCUCUUGUUGGCGAUCCGCCCAUGAAGCAUCCUGUGCCAUUGGCGUCAGUGGACGACCAAUGCUGAUGAGUUCGUUGUUUUCAAGCUGAGGAAGAACUGCACCAUCUUCUACAUGGUCAUGUUGACCAAUGUCUUCAGCAGUGAUGGGAUCAGCUGUUGGAAAGUCUUUAGCUUUAUGAGCCUCUGUGGAAGCAGGCUCAUGGAUUGUCAGUUGGCGUUCAGCUUCAGGAUAGACCAUUGAAAUAGGUUCAACUAUCAAAGGCUCUGUGGGAGCAGCCUGUUCCUUCUUGGUCUUUCGUUUCUUCUUGGAGGGGGCAGUAGGAGAGGCUUCAGGAUGUUUCCUCUUCCUGGCUUCAGCCUCAGCAGUCCUUGUCUUCUUGAGCUCUGAAGCGGUUGACCGGCUUUUUGGCUUCAAGCCAGUCAGUCUAGUUGGGAAGACAAUCGGAACUGCUUCCUGCCUUGGUGCGUCGGAUUCAGCCGUAGCAGUCUUCUUCUUCUUCUUUGCGGCCAUCCUAGGGUCAAUGCCAGGACGCCCAAGGGCCUUGCGCUUCUCAGCCUCAUUGUAGGCUUGCACACAUCUGUCAGCCAGAGCCUUCAUGCGCUCACGUGAAUCCCGAGCUUCUGCACAUUUCUUCAGAAAGGCUUCCUUGAGCUCGUGCAUCAUGAUCUUGAAGUUCUUCACUUCUUGCACACUGAGCUUGGCCAUAUGCUUCUUGAACUGAGCCUUUUCAUAGUCAAUCUUCUGCUUUAGUUCAACAACGUGUCGGGCGAUGGCUAGCUCUGAAGCAAUGGCGCCUUGGAAGGCGACACUGAGGCCAAUGGGUAGCUGCAGAUCAUCAAAGCUGAUGUUUGGCAUAUCAAACCACUCGUCAAUGAAGUUGUGGAUGAUGGUUACAUCAAAGAGAGGCAGAUCAUUGAAGAUUUCGGCUUCUUCUUUGCUCUUGAUGAGUUGCUCAAGAGCGUCAUCUGCAAGAUCUUCAUCACUUGACAGAUCAAUGUCAUCAUUGCGCAGAAUGGCAGCAGCUGUUAGCUCUUGGCCGGUGUGUGGCAGAGGCAUCUUGGCCUUCUAGGGCUUGGAGAUGCGUGAUAAAUCUUCGGACUGCACACUGUCUUCAGGAGAUGCAGUUGCCAGUGGCUUCGCCCUUGAGAUUUUUGGUGAAGGGGCAGGCUUUGAAGCUUUGGGCUUCUUCAACUUCUUUGGUGUUGGCGCUGCAGGCGCUUCAUCUGAUUCAGCGUUAGCUGCAGGCUCAUUCACGGUUGUCCCUUGAACCAAGAUAUGGGUGAUGAGUCCUGCAAGGUUGUAGAAAGGACCGACGACAUUGGGUUCCGCAUCGCGUGUGCCGUCAGCCCUUGGAGCAGAAGGACCAGGGUUGAAGUCUAAUCCAAAAGACUUCUUGUUCUGCUUUGCUGAGUUCUUGGCAAACUGGAAGUUGCGCUUGAAUAGAUUGUCGUCACGGCACCAUAGUAGUGACGAUGGGUGUGCAUCUGCAGGCUGUGGCCCACGCACCAUGCAGGGAUAGAAGCCUUGUUCAAUGGCUUCUUCUCUGGACCUGGGUUGAAGAUUCUUGUAUAGGAUGUCUCCCCAUGGUCUCUUGAUGGCAUUUCUCUCAGCAUAUUCCUGGGUCACAAACCGGUAUUUGAACCAUUGUUCUGCCCAAUAUCUUCGAAUCCAUUGGAUUCGGGUCUUGCGCUGAUUAUAAUCCUGUUCAGGAUCUGUCUUGUAAAGCUCUGAGAGGUCAUCAGGAAAAUCUCUUGAUGUCCCCCCACGACGCUGUCUGCCACCCUUCCUUACUGAUUUCUCUGCAGCCAUGAACUUCAAACUGAAAGGCUUCAAAACGUUCAAAGGCUUCAAAGGUUUUCGCUUGCUGGACAAACAGGAACUGGCUUCGGGAGAAUUUAUAUGAUGCUGUAAGAAUUCUGCAAAUGAAUGCAGACUAUGAGAACCAAGGGAUUCUCCCAUGGACAUGUACCUGUGACAACAUUAAGGUGCAAGGGAAGGGGAAGAGGUCAUAUGCAUUCUCAGGAGAUUUUGAAGAUAAAUCAGUUUAGAAGACAUUGACCUCAUCGUGCGAAGACAUUCACUCAUAGAUAAGGAGUUGGUUCCAGAUUUGUACGAAUCCAGUGAUCAGUACAAGUGAGGAAUCUAACUACUUGUGAAGCAUAAGUGAAUAUACUAGGCAUGUUAUGAGAUGCAGUAGGAAAGAGAUCCAACUUGUGUGAAUAGAAACUUCUUAUGGUAGAAAGUGACAAAGCCAUAGGAUCAAAAGGGGCCGUAAAAAGAAGUUUUAUUUACCACACUUGGAACUGCUAGAUGGAGUGGAAGAGGAGGCCGAGCAGUUCGAUCUUCUGUGCCCUAACUUGGCGACGAAGGACACCUACGGCGACGGCGGAGAGGACGAUGUCCGCGGUCGGUGUGAAGACGGCGUCGGAGAGGUUGCGGCAGUGAAGCGCUUCGUCGCCGGCGUCGUCGAGGGCUAGCAGUGGCACUAGGGUUCGUGCGAGGGUGGAAGAAGAGAUGAUGACCGCUGUGAAGGGUGUAUUUAUAGGUACAGGGGCGGCACUGCGUUAUUACACAGGUGCCCCUGGCGAUUCACAUCUGAGGAACACGUGGCCAUCAUGCAGUAUAUUGGGGUUUGUUCCACGUCUCACGCACGCCUAGAUUGUCGGGUGGUCGUUCCUACUUCUCCGGGUUUCAUGUGGAGGAAUGGGCAUUGAAAACGGACUUAAUGUUUGUCUCUGUAUGUUCUGCUGACAAGGACGCAGAGAAGACAUUCGACAGUUUCAAUAGAAUGCAUAUGAUUUGGAGAGAUAGAGUUUGAGAUAGAGAGCACAGAGAGGUUAGGGUCCGAUCACAUUCACUUAGAUCAAAAGAUUCAACAAGAAGACAUAGCUAUAAGUGAAUACUGUAGAGGACAGAACACUAGUAUAUAUAUAUAUAUAUAAUCAACAUAGUGAAGAUAAUCAUGAAAACAUGUUGAGAUUGAAACCAAACCAAAUGUGAAGUCAUAGCAAGGUAAUGCCAUGAGUGAAACACUUCAAAUAGAACAUUUGGUGGUGGCGUUACCCACCGUAUAGGAAGUAUUAGACCCAGACACGGCGCACAAUUAUCGUGGCGCUCCGAAGUCAAAUUCCACAUUAAUGUAUUCACACUUAGAAUGUAUGUCUUCAUUGAUUGAAGAUAUACUUUACUUCGUGUGUUGCACAUCUAAGUCAUCAAUAUGCAUAAGGGUUAGGAUGUGUGCCUGAUCACAGGACAUUUGAGGAUUCCAGGAUAUUUAGCUCACAUCGUAACUUGCAAAAUCUCUUCUCAUCCAAGGGCUUGGUGAAGAUAUCUGCCAAUUGCUCUUCAGUGUUGACGUGUAUGAUAUCAAUAUCUUCCUUCACAACAUGAUCUCUGAGAAAGUGAUGACGAAUUUCAAUGUGCUUUGUCUUCGAGUGCUGAACAGGGUUGUUGGCAAUCUUGAUGGCGCUUUCGUUGUCACAGUAGAGUGGCACUUGCUUCAGAUGAAUGCCAUAGUCCUUGAGGGUUUGCUUCAUCCACAGAAGCUGAGCGCAGCAAGAUCCAGCAGCAAUGUAUUCAGAUUCAGCAGUGGAGAGAGAUACACAGUUCUGCUUCUUUGAAGACCAACAUACAGGUGAUCGUCCCAGAAAAUGACAUGUGCCUGAUGUAGACUUGCGAUCCACCUUGUCACCAGCAUAAUCAGCAUCCGAGAAUCCAACCAGAUCAAACUCUGAGCCCUUUGGAUACCAUAAUCCUAGAGUUGGGGUGUGAGCCAAAUAUCGAAGAAUUCGCUUCACAGCUAGGUGAUGCGACUCCUUUGGUGCCGCUUGAAAUCGAGCACACAUGCAAACACUAAGCAUAAUAUCUGGCCUAGAUGCACAUAGAUAAAGCAAAGAACCAAUCAUGGAGCGGUAUACCUUUUGAUCGAACUCUUUACCAUUGUCGUCAGGACCCAGAUGAUGCUUGGCUGGUAUUGGCGUCGUGAACCCUUUGCAGUCUUGCAUACCGAACUUCUUAAGGCAAUCCUUGAGAUGCUUCUCUUGAGAUAUGAAGAUGCCGUUGCGUUGCUGUCGUAUUUGAAUACCGAGGAAAAACUUCAGCUCUCCAUCAUGGACAUCUGAUAUUGCUCUUGCAUCAUAUAUCCAAACUCUUCACUGUACUUCUGAUUGGUGCAGCCGAAGAUAAUGUCAUCCACAUAUAUUUGGCACACAAACAGUUAACCAUCAUAUGUCUUCGUGAAGAGAGUGGGGUCGAGGGAACCAGGUAUGAAGCCUUUGCUCUUCAGGAAGUAUUUGAGUGUGUCAUACCAGGCCCGAGGGGCUUGUUUGAGGCCAUAUAGUGCCUUGUUGAGCUUGUAUACCGUAUCAGGAUGUUUUAGAUCUUCAGAGCCAGGUGGUUGUGCAACAUACACUUCUUCUUCAAUCUUUCCAUUGAGAAAGGCGCUCUUCACAUCCAUUUGAUAAAGAAGUAUGUUGUGAUGAUUUGCAUAGGCCAGCAGUAUGCGUAUGGCUUCAAGUCUAGCCACAGGAGCAAAUGUUUCAUUGAAGUCAAUGCCUUCCACUUGAGUAUAUCCUUGAGCAACUAGACGAGCUUUGUUUCUGACAACUUGACCAUGCUCAUCUUGCUUGUUGCGGUAUAUCCAUUUUGUGCCUAUUAUGUUGUGCUUCCGAGGAUCAGGACGCUUAACCAGUUCCCAUACAUUAUUCAGCUCAAACCGUUGAAGCUCUUCUUGCAUAGCUUGAAUCCAUUCAGGUUCCAUGAAGGCUUCUUCCACUUUCUUGGGUUCUGUUAUUGAGACGAAUGCGAAGUGCCCACAGAAAUUUGCCAGCUGGGUUGCCCUUGAUCGACUGAGCGGACCAGGUGCAUUGAUGCUGUCAAUUAUUCUCUCAAUUUGCACUUCAUUGGCAACACGAGGAUGUACAGGGCGAAGACUUUGCUCUUGCUGAUCAUUGUCGUUGUUGGAGGGAUUGUCUUCAGGUUGAGCAUUGUCUUCAGGUUGAUCUGGUGCAGAGAUGAUGAGUUCCUCUUCAGGAUGAGCUUUAGAAGGUAUGAUUUCUCCAGUUCCCAUUAGCUUGAUUGAUUCACUGGAUGGAACUUCAUCUAGCACAUUUGGCAGGUGCUCUCUUUGUGAACCGUUAGUCUCAUCGAACCGCACAUCCACGGUUUCAACCACUUUAUAAUGAAAGAGGUUGAAGACUCUGUAGGAGUGCGAAUCCUUUCCAUAUCCAAGCAUAAAACCCUCAUGUGCUUUUGGGGCAAACUUUGAAGUGUGAUGUGGGUCCUUGAUCCAGCACCUUGCGCCAAAUACUCUGAAGUAACUGGCAUUUGGCUUCUUGCCAGUGAGGAGCUCAUACGAUGUCUUGUUCAGAAGCUUGUGAAGAUAAACACGAUUGAUUGUAUGGCAUGCAGUAUCAAUGGCUUCAGGCCAGAAUUUUCUUGGAGUCUUGUAUUCAUCUAGCAUUGUUCUGGCCAUCUCAAUGAGUGUUCUGUUCUUGCAUUCGACGACGCCAUUCUGCUGUGGCGUGUACGGGGCUGAGAAUUCAUGUGUGAUGCCCAAGGUAUCAAGAUAUGUAUCAAGGCCAGUGUUCUUGAAUUCAGUGCCAUUGUCACUUUUGAUGUGCUUUAUCUUGGCACCAUAGUUGUUCAUUGCUCGAUUGGCGAAGCGUUUGAAGACAUCCUGCACUUCAGUCUUGUAAAGGAUUAUAUGCACCCAAGUGUAUCUAGAAUAAUCAUCAAUAAUGAAGAAGCCAUAGAGACAAGCAGUAGUAGUAAGAGUUGAGUAAUGAGUGGGACCGAAAAGAUCCAUGUGAAGCAGCUCGAAGGGUCGAGUAGUAGUCAUGAUUGUCUUCGAGGGAUGCUUGGCCCUCGUCAUCUUUCCUGCUUCACAGGCACCGCAUAAGUGAUCUUUCUUGAACUUGACGCCCUCAAUGCCUAUGACAUGCUUCUUCUUUGCCAGGGUGUGGAGGUUCCUCAUGCCAGCAUGCCCAAGCCUCCGAUGCCAGAGCCAGCAUUCUGAAGCUUUUGCUAGAAGACAUACGGCAAGUUGUGGUCCUGCUGAGAAAUCUACCACGUACAGAUCGUCUUUCCGAUACCCUUCAAACACUAGAGACUUGUCAGAUUCCAUUAGAACAAGGCAACAAUAUUUUCCAAAUAUUACGAUCAUGUUCAAAUCGCAUAGCAUUGAGACAGACAUUAAGUUGAAGCCAAGGGAUUCAACAAGCAUGACUUUAUCCAUGUGUUGAUCCUUUGAGAUUGCAACUCUACCUAGACCCAAUACCUUACUUUUACCAGUGUCAGCAAAUGUGAUGUGGCUCUUGUCGGAAGGACGUAAGGUUGAGUCCAUCAGAAGGCUUCUUUUGCCAGUCAUGUGAUUUGUACACCCACUAUCAGUAAUCCAUUCUGUAUACGCUGGUGUCGUACCCUACAGUGCAGUUAGGGGGAUAGGCUUCACGAAGAGAGUUGUGAAGCAAAAACAUUUGACGAACCAGUGGGUUAUGAAAGCUUAGAUCCAGAUUAGUACUGAUAGGGAGAGUAGCAAGCGAUUCAGGAACGAAGUACAUAGUAAGACCAUUCGGCAUUUGAUCUUGCGCCCUACAAGAUGUUUAAGGUCCCCAGCGAUAGCGUCAGAAGAUUUUGGUUUUCUGCUGGAGACCUUUCCCUGCAAAAGAGAGUUAAGCCUUCUUAACAACCCACAUCUUCAAGGGUGGCUUAGAAGCGAUAAGUCUAAGUGCAGAGUCUGAAAACUUUGGCUUUGGGGCUCUAGCAAAAAGUCUUGCAGGUGGACAAUAAUACUCAUAAGAAUAAGCAGAAUAGUUUUUGGUCUUAUGAACAUGGCGGUUCGAUGAACCGCGCUCAUAUUCAUAGGCCUGAGUAUGGUUUCCCUGCAAAACAUUUGCAUUAGUCCGACUCAGGUGAGUCCUCUGUCUGUAUGAAGCCUUUGGGCCAUAUGAAGCCUGUGGUCUGGGGUUUGUCUUCUUCAUCUAUGGUGUCAUGAUGACAUUCACAGGAAGAUUUUCCAAACACCUUUUGGGCACCCAGACCUUCUUCAUAGGCGGUCCAUUCCUGCAGUUAGUACCAAUGUACCUGGCAAAAACUUCACCAUUCUGAUUCUUAAAUAGUUUAUAGUUUGCAUCAAAGGAUUCAUCAAUGACAAUGGGGUUAGCACAAGUGAAGCCAGAUAGACUGGAUGGAUUUGCUGAAGGUUCCUUUGCAGCAACCCAUGUGGUUUUGGGAUACUGCUCGGGUUUCUAGUAAGAGCCAUCAGCAUUCAUUUUCCUUAUGAACCCAACACCCUCUUUCCUCGGGUUUCGGUUCAGAAUCUGCCUUUUGAGGACAUCACAUAGUGUCUGAUGCCCUUUAAGACUUUUGUACAUCCCUGUUUCAAGCAAUGUCUUCAACCUAGCAUUCUCAUCAGCAAUCGCAGUAGUAUCCUCAGUAGAGGGGUUAGUUACCACAUCAACAGUUGAAGAUAUUGCAACAGUAGCAGUAGUAGAACAUUCAGCAACAGAAGCAGCAUUAUCACGCUCAAUGCAUUUAAGACAUGGUGGUUCAAAUCCUUCCUGAGCGGAACUGAUCUGUUCGGCGCGAAGUGACUCGUUUUCCUUUUGAAGAUCUUCAUGAGCCGCUCUCAAUUUCUCAAGAUCUUGCUUCCUUUGAAGAUAAUCAUAGGAAAGCUUUUCAUGAGUUGUUGAGAGCGUUUCAUGACAACUUUCAAGUUCCUCAUAUUUAACGUGAAGAUUUUUUAUGUCUUGAAUUAAGGAUUCAGAUCGAGUCAUUUCAACGCCCAACAAAUCAUCGCUUUUGUCUAACAGUUUUUGAAUAUGUUCCAUGGCUUUCUGUUGUUCAGUUGCAAUUUUAGCAAGUGUUUUGUAGCUGGGUCUUGAAUCACAAUCAGAGUCAUCAUCACUAGAUGUUUGAUAGUGAGUAGUGCGUGUGUUUACCUUGGCACCGUGUGCCAUGAAGCAGUAGGUAGGAGCAGAGUCGUCCUUGUCAUUUGCAUCGGCGUCGGUGGUGAAGUCAUUGUCUUCAGUGUUGAAGAUGGACUUGGCAACGUAUGCUGUAGCCAGACUUGCAACACCAGAAUCGGACUCCUCCUCAGACUCCACCUCCGCCUCCUCAGACGCGGACUCCUCCUCUGAAUCCAUUUCCUUGCCAACAAACGCACGUGCCUUGCCAGAUGAGCUCUUCUUGUGUGAUGAAGACUUUGAGGAAGACUUGGAAGAAGACUUUGAGUAUUUCUUCUUCUUCUUGUCGUCAGAGUCAUAUUCCUUGCUCUUCUUCUUCUUUCUAUUCUCAUUGUCCCACUGCGGACACUCAGAGAUGAAGUGGCUAGUUUUCUUGCACUUGUGACAUGUUUUCUUCUUGUAGUCAUGAGCAGAAGCUUCAUCAUUCCUUGAGCUUGAUCGUGAAGACUUUCUGAAGCCUUUCUUCUUGGGGAAUCUUUGGAACUUCUUUACAAGCAUAGCAAGUUCCUUUCCAAUGUCUUCAGGAUCGUCAGAACUGCUGUCAGAUUCUUCUUCAGAUGAGGAGACAACUUUUGCCUUCAGGGCACGAGUUCGCCCAUAGUUUGGACCGUAGAUAUCUCUUUUCUCAGAAAGCUGAAACUCAUGUGUGUUGAGCCUCUCAAGUAUGUCGGACGGAUCGAGUAUCUUGAAAUCAGGUCGUUCUUGAAUCAUCAGGGCUAGGGUGUCAAACAAACUGUCAAGUGAUCUCAGUAGUGUCUUGACGACUUCAUGCUUGGUGAUCUCAGUGGCGCCGAGCGCUUGAAGCUCAUUUGUGAUGUCAGUGAGUCGGUCAAAUGUGAGCUGGACAUUCUCAUUGUCAUUUCGCUUGAAGCGGUUAAAGAGGUUGCGAAGAACGCUGAUUCUCUGAUCUCUCUGGGUUGAGACGCCUUCGUUGACCUUGGAGAGCUAGUCCCAGACCAGCUUCGAUGUUUCCAAAGUGCUCACACGGCCAUACUGUCCUUUGGUCAGAUGACCACAGAUAAUGUUCUUGGCAGUAGAGUCCAGUUGAACGAACUUCUUGACAUCAGCAACAGUGACACCUUCUCCAGCCUUGGGAACGCCGUUCUUGACGACAUACCAUAGGUCGACGUCAAUGGCUUCAAGAUGCAUGCGCAUCUUAUUCUUCCAGUAGGGAUAUUCAGUUCCAUCGAAGACGGGGCACGCAACGGAGACUUUAAUUAUCCCUGCAGUCGACAUAGCUAAAACUCCAGGUGGUUAAACCGAAUCACACAGAACAAGGGAGCACCUUGCUCUCAUACCAAUUGAAAGUGCAUUAUAUCGACUAGAGGGGGUGACUAGGCGAUUUUUAUGAAAGUCUUAAAAACAUGGAAGUUUCGAAGACAAAUGAUAGAAAUAAACCUAUUACCAUGCAGCGGAAGUUAGACUACACUAGAUAAACCAUAGUCAUGUAUUCAAUGAAGUGAAAGGACAAUGACUAAUAGUAGCUAGGUAGUAAGGAUCAGGCAGGAAGAUAUUAAGAAGCCAAACGGAUCACACAGUCACUCAGUGAAGACAAAAGAUAGAGCAAACAUACAAUGACUUCACACAGAGUAACAGUAAGUAAAGAGAAGGGAAGGAUGAAACCAGUGACUCGUUGAAGACAAAUAUUUGUUGGACCAGUUCCAGUUGCUGUGACAACUGUACGUCUGGUUAGGGCGGCUAGGUAUUUAAACCAAAGGACACAUAGUCCCGGACACCCAGUCCUGAACACGCAGCUCAGGACACCCAGUCCUCACAGUAUUCCCCUUGAGCUAAGGUCACACAGACCUCGCCCAAUCACUCUGGUAAGUCUUCAAGGUAGACUCCCAAACCUUCACAGACUUCGUUCACCGGCAAUCCACAAUGUCUCUUGGAUGCUAUAACGCGACGCCUAACUGGCUGGAGGAUGCACAGUCCUCAAGUGUAAUAAGUCUUCAUAUCACUCAGACAAGAAGACUUAAGUGAUGCCUAAUUCUCUUUGGCUCUGGGUGGUUAGGGCUUUAUCCUCGCAAGGAAUUCUCUCUCAAAGGCUUCGAGGUGGGUUGCUCUCAAACGACAAAAGCCGUACUCUGAAUCCGAGCAGCCAACCGUUUAUGGUUGUAGGGGGUGGGCUAUUUAUAGCCACUAGGCAACCCGACAUGAUUUGUCCGAAAUGACCCUGGGUCACUAAGGAACUGACACGUGUUCCAACGGUCAGAUUUCAAACUCACACGGCAACUUUACUUGGGCUACAAGCAAAGCUGACUUGUCCGACUCUGGACAAGAUUUGCUCUCAUAGUCUUCACUCGAAGACAUAGGUUUUUGUUUAAGCAUCACUUCAGUCAUUCUGACUGGUUCUCUUGGACCCCACUUAACAGUGCGGUGGUUCCUAUGACUCAACACAGAAGAAAAAGAACUACGAAAGAUCUAAGUCUUCGAGCUCCAUAGGCUUCAUGCAGUGUCUUCUCUUGUCAUAGUCUUCAAUGUGAAUAUCUUCAUAUACCACCUUUGACAUCAAUGUCUUCAUACAUUUUUAGGGGUCAUCUCUGGUGGGAAAACCAAAUCAAUGAGGUACUUCUACCUGUGUUAUCCUGCAAUUCUCAUAAACACAUUAGUCCCUCAACUAGGUUUGUCGUCAAUACUCCAAAACCAACUAGGGGUGGCACUAGAUGCACUUACACAGUCGUCUCUAAAGCAUAACCCCAAAAUGAUAGCAGUAAAUUAGUAAGAGACAUCAUAGAUCGCACCAUAUCUAAUAAAGUGCGGUUACGAUGUUCGGACACACCAUUAUGUUGUGGUGUUCCGUGUGGCGUGAGUUGCGAAACUGUUCUGCAUUGUUUCAAAUGAAGACCAAACACGUAACUCAAAUAUUCACCUCCACGAUCAGAUUGUAGAAACUUUAUUUUCUUGUUACGAUAUUUUUCCUCUUCACUCUGAAUUUUUUUGAACUUUUCAAAUGUUUCAGACUUAUGUUUCAUCAAGUAGAUAUACCCAUAUCUGCUCAAAUCAUCUGUGAAGGUCAGAAAAUAACAAUACCCGCCGCGAGCCUCAACACUCAUCGGACCGCAUACAUCCGUAUGUAUUAUUUCCAACAAGUCUAUUGCUCACUCCAUUGUUCCGGAGAAUGGAGUCUUAGUCAUCUUGCCCAUGAGGCAUGGUUCGCAAGCAUCAAGUGAUUCAUAAUCAAGUGAUUCCAAAAGUCCAUCAGCAUGGAGUUUCUUCAUGCGCUUUACACCAAUAUGACCUAAACGGCAGUGCCACAAAUAAGUUGCACUAUCAUUAUUAACCUUGCAUCUUUUGGCUUCAAUAUUAUGAAUAUGUGUGUCACUAUUGUCGAGAUUCAAUAAAAAUAGAUCACUCAUCAAGGGUGCAUGACCAUAAAAGAUAUUACUCAUAUAAAUAGAACAACCAUUAUUCUCUGAUUUAAAUGAAUAUCCGUCUCGCAUCAAACAAGAUCCAGAUAUAAUGUUCAUGCUUAACGUUGGCACCAAAUAACAAUUAUUCAGGUCUAAAACUAAUCCCGAUGGUAGAUGUAGAGGUAGCAUGCUGACGGCGAUCACAUCGACUUUGGAACCAUUUCCCACGCGCAUCGUCACCUCGUCCUUAGCCAAUCUUCGCUUAAUCCGUAGCCCAUGUUUCGAGUUGCAAAUAUGAGCAACAGAACCAGUAUCAAAUACCUAGGCGCUACUACGAGCAUUAGUAAGGUACACAUUAAUAACAUGUAUAUCAAAUAUACCUUUCACUUUGCCAUCCUUCUUAUCCAUCAAAUACUUGGGGUAGUUCCGCUUCCAAUGACCAGUCCCUUUGUAGUAGAAGCAUUCAGUCUCCGGCUUAGGUCCAGACUUGGGCUUCUUCACUUGAGCAACAACUUGCUUGUCAUUCUUCUUGAAGUUCCCCUUCUUCCCUUUGCCCUUUUUCUUGAUACUGGUGGUCUUGUUGACCAUCAACACUUGAUGCUCCUUCUUGAUUUCUACCUCUACAGCCUUUAGCAUUGCGAAGAGCUCGGGAAUUGUCUUAUCCAUCCCUUGCAUAUUAUAGUUCAUCAUGAAGCUUUUGUAGCUUGGUGGCAGUGAUUGAAGAACUCUGUCAAUGACACUAUCAUCAGGAAGAUUAACUCCUAGUUGAGUCAAGUGGUUGUGGUACCUGGACAUUUUGAGUAUAUGUUCACUAACAAAACUAUUCUCCUCCAUCUUACAGCUGUAGAACUUAUUGGAGACUUCAUAUCUCUCAAUCCGGGCAUUUGCUUGAAAAUUUUACUUCGACUCCUGGAACAUCUCAUAUGCUCCAUGAUGUUCAAAACGUUGUUGAAGUCCCGAUUCUAAGCCGUAAAGCAUGGCACACUAAACUAUCGAGUAGUCAUCGGCUUUGCUCUACCAGACGUUCAUAAUGUCCGGUGUUGCUUGAUACGUCUCCGUCGUAUCUACUUUUCCAAACACUUUUGUCCUUGUUUUGGACUCUAACUUGCAUGAUUUGAAUGGAACUAACCCGGACUGACGCUGUUUUCAGCAGAAUUACCAUGGUGUUAUUUAUGUGUAGAAAUAAAAGUUCUCGGAAUGACCUGAAACUUCAGGGAACGUCUUUUUGGAAAUAAUAAAAAAUCCUUGCAAAAGAUGAAGACCAGGGGGCCCACACCCUAGCCACGAGGGUGGGGGCGCGCCUGCCCCCCUAGGCGCGACCCCUACCUUGUGGGCCCCCUGGAGCUCCUCCGACCUCAACUCCAACUCUAUAUAUUUGCUUUCAGGGAGAAAAAAAUUAGAGAGAAGGAUUCAUCGCGUUUUACAAUACAGAGCCGCCGCCAAGCCCUAAAACCUCUCAGGAGGGCUGAUCUGGAGUCCGUUCGGGGCUCCGGAGAGGGGAAUCCGUCGCCAUCGUCAUCAUCAACCUUCCUCCAUCACCAAUUUCAUGAUGCUCACCGCCGUGCGUGAGUAAUUCCAUCAUAGGCUUGCUGGACGGUGAUGGGUUGGAUGAUAUUUAUCAUGUAAUCGAGUUAGUUUUGUUAGGGUUUGAUCCCUAGUAUCCACUAUGUUGUGAGAUUGAUGUUGCUAUGACUUUGCUAUGCUUAAUGCUUGUCACUAGGGCCCGAGUGCCAUGAUUUCAGAUCUGAACCUAUUAUGUUUUCAUCAAUAUAUGAGUGUUCUUGAUCCUAUCUUGCAAGUCUAUAGUCACCUACUAUGUGUUAUGAUCUGGCAACCCCGAGGUGACAAUAAUAGGGACCACUCCCGGUGAUGACCGUAGUUUGAGGAGUUCAUGUAUUCAUUAUGUGUUAAUGCUUUGGUCUGGUACUCUAUUAAAAGGAGGCCUUAAUAUCCCUUAGUUUCCGCUAGGACCCCGCUGCCACGGGAGGGUAGGACAAAAGAUGUCAUGCAAGUUCUUUUCCAUAAGCACGUAUGACUAUAUUCGAAAUACAUGCCUACAUUACAUUGAUGAAUUGGAGCUAGUUUUGUGUCACCCUAGGUUAUGACUGUUACAUGAUGAACCGCAUCCGGCGUAAUUCUCUAUCACCGAUCCAUUGCCUACGAGCUUUCCAUAUAUUGUUCUUCACUUAUUUACUUUUCCGUUGCUAUUGCUAUCAUCACUACAAAAUACCAAAAACAUUAAUUUUGCUAUCGUUACCUUUUGCUACCGUUACCACUACUAUCAUAUUACGUUGCUACUAAACACUUUACUACAGAUAUUAAGUUUCUAGGUGUGGUUGAAUUGACAACUCAACUUUCAACUGCUAAUACUUGAUAAUAUUCUUUGGCUCCCCUUGUGUCGAAUCAAUAAAUUUGGGUUGAAUACUCUACCCUCGAAAACUGUUGCGAUCCCCUAUACUUGUGGGUUAUCAAGACUAUUUUCUGGCGUCGUUGCCGGGGAGCAUAGCUCUAUUCUUUGAGUCACUUGGGAUUUAUAUCUGUUUAUCAUUAUGAAGAACUUGAGAGAUCCAAAAACCAAGAUUUAUCUCUCAACUACGAGGGGAGGUAAGGAACUGCCAUCUAGCUCUGCACUUGAUUCACCUUCUAUUUUGAGUAAGCUUGCGACACCUAAACCUGCUUCUGCUAUUCAUUCUGAUAUGUCGCAUGUUAUUAAUGAUGCCACUUGUGCUAUGCAUGAUACUUAUGAUGAAACUACUUCUAUGCUUGAUACUACUGUGCCACUUGGUGAAUUUCUUGAUGAACAACUUGCUAGGGUUAGAGAGAAUGAAAUUAUUGAAACUGAUAAUAUAUAUAUAUAUAUUUGAAUAUAUACUGUAGGGUAAAACCCCCACAGCCCUUUAUUGCAGUCUCAAAAAACAAACUGUACAGUGAAAGAAAGAGAUGACAAGCCUAAACGAAAAGUUAAGAAGAACUUACAAUUACAUGAGGGAGUUAACUCAAUCUACAAGCCUAGACUUAGAGCUAUCCUUAAACCUAUGUGACAGGAGAAGAAUGUCAUGUACAAAACUGCCCCUCCAGGCAACAAAAGUAGCCCGUAGUCCCCUGAAAGUUCUUCCAUUUCUCAGAAUCCAUAUAUUCCAAGCAGCUGUGAGCAUAACUUCAAAGAAGAAAGGAUACCCAAAUCGCUGCCUUGCUUGAGAUAUACAUUGCUGAAUAGAAGAACCAUGUGACCAAUCGAUCUGCAGGUAUUUCCAAACCCUGGCACUGAAAUUACAACCAAAGAAUAGGUGAGCCCUGUCCUCCCAAACAAAGGCAUUACAGAUGACACAUAGAUGAUCAGCCGUAGGGGACCUCCGGUGGCUGCGGACCAGCACGUCCUUUGUGUUGAGUCUGUCAAAGAAUAGGAGCCAGCCAAAAACCUUAAUUUUCAUAGUACAUAUGCUCUGCCAAAGCCACCUGCAGGGUUUAAUAGUUGGGAGGUGUGUAUGCAUGAUGUCAUAGAAGCUCUUUGCAGAAAACUGUCCAGAUUUACCAGGCCAAAUCCAAACAUCAGGCAAUGUUGGAUCUCUCUGGAGAUUGAACAUCCUUCCUUCCAAGGAUUCCAAUUCUGCUGCUGCCUGCUGAGAAAUUGGCAGAUGAAACAUUGAGAACAAAUCCUGGGUUUGCAAAAACUCCCUGACAGAAACCUUAUCAUCCAAAACAAAAGAGAAAAGCCUUGGUAAUCUGAGGCUUAGUGGCCUUGAAGAGCCACCUACAUGGCAAGCAUCCAGCCAAAAGAGAGCAGAAUCACCCAUAUUAACUGGCACUGAAGCAAUUGACCUAUAAGUGUCAGCAAGCUUGAGAAUGUCCUUCCACCAAAAGGAGCCAGUUAGGACUGUUGCAUGGGGCACCACUCCAUCAUAAUAACUAUCCCAAAUCAACUGGACCCAAGGAAUCUGCUGUUUGUUGUAGAACUUAUGCAUUUGUUUGAGAAGCAGACCUUGAUUUUGAACAUUGAGGUUGAGAAUGCCAAGUCCUCCCUUAUCCUUUGGUCUGCAAACUAAAUCACAGGCAGCUAGGGAUUGCUUAGGCACAUCAGAAUUUCCUCUCCACAAACACUGCCUGAAAAUCCUAUCCAACUGUUUGAUAAUACCAGGUGGGAUAUGCAAGCUGCAGAGGAAGUAUAUGGGCAUUGAAGUAAGCACAGAUGUGAGAAAUUGUAACCUGGAUCCUUGGUUGAGCAUGGCAGAGCUAACAGACAGUCUUCUUUCAAGACUAUCCACUAAAGGCAUGAAAUCAAUGAUUCUAGGUCUUGUUGUACCAAGAGGCAAACCCAGAUAUGUGAAAGGUAACUGCUCCGGUUUACAUCCCAGGAUGGAAGACAACCUCUGUGCCUCUGUGGGAUCAACAUUUAGUGGCACCAUUGAAGACUUUCCAAAAUUUACCUUUAGGCCAGUAGACUGUUGGAAAAUAUGGAGCAUGUUCUUGAGAGCCACCAACUGGUCCUGUACUGCAGAAAGGAUAAUUAUUGUGUCAUCUGCAUACUGAAUGAUAGGAAAUUCAGGGUCCUAAGAUGGGAUUGGAAGUGUUAGAACUCCCUUAGCCAGCAUGUUAUUGACCAUUGUUUGAAGAAGAUCGGCAGCUAUGACAAAUAAAAGAGGGGAUAGGGGAUCCCCCUGCCUGACCCCACAUUUAUAUUUGAACUGUUUGCCAGGCACCCCAUUAAGCAAAACAGAUGAUGAUCCUGAGGAGAGAAUCUCUUUAAUCCAAGAAAUCCAUUUGGCAUCAAAACCUUUGUGCUGUAGAACUUGCAAGAUGAAGUCAUGCUCCACAGUGUCAAAAGCUUUGGCAAAAUCCAAUUUCAAAAUGAUGGUUGGCCUUUUGGAUUGAUUGCAUUGAUGUAUAUAUUCAAAAGCCCAAGCCAGGCAGUCCUGAAUGGCUCUGCUCUUCAAAAACCCAUAUUGAUUCUUAUGGAUGCAUUGCAGAAUGACCUUUUGAAGCCUAUUUCCCAAAAGCUUAGUAAGGAACUUGAGGCAUGUGUUAGUAAGAGAGAUUGGUCUAAAAUCCUCAAGUCCUUCAGGAGACAACAUCUUUGGAAUUAAGGUGAUAAGGGAUCCAUUAAUAUUUUCCAAAGAUAGCCUCCCAUCAUAAAACCCCUGAAUGAGAGCCAAGAAAUCCUUCUCAAUGAUGGGCCAACACUUCUUAACAAAAAGACCAUUAAAACCGUGAAAGUGAUGAUGAAGAUUCUCCCCCUAAUAAAUAUGAAUUGCCUGUUGUGCCUGAGGGCUAUGUUAUGGAUGAAGAAAUUGCUAAAGCUAUUUUUGUUUGCAAAGAUAGAUAUGAUCUUAAGAAGUUAUUAGCUAAAUGGAAGCAGCAAUCUCUUAAUGCUAGAAUGAAACCUGACCCUGCUUUUGCUACUUCACCUAUCUGUGUUACUGAUAAGGAUUAUGAAUUCUCUGUUGAUCCUGAUAUAAUUACUUUGGUUGAAUCUGAUCCUUUUCAUGGCUAUGAGUCUAAAACUGUUGUGGCACAUCUUACUAAAUUAAAUGAUAUAGCCACCCUAUUCACUAAUGAUGAGAGAACUCGUUACUUUUAUAUCCUUAAAAUAUUCCUGUUCUCAUUAAAGGGUGAUGCUAAGAUAUGGUUUAAUUCUCUUGAUCCUGGUUGUGUGCGUAGUCCCCAGGAUAUGAUUUAUUACUUCUCUGCUAAAUAUUUCACUGCUCAUAAGAAACAAGCUGCUUUGAGGGAUAUAUAUAAUUUUGUGCAAAUUGAAGAAGAGAGUCUCCCACAAGCUUGGGGGAGGCUUCUCCAAUUACUUAAUGCUUUGCCUGAUCAUCCUCUUAAGAAAAAUGAAAUAUUGGAUAUAUUUUAUAAUGGACUAAGUGAUGCUUCCAGAGAUUACCUGGAUAGUUGUGUUGGUUCUGUUUUCAAGGAAAGAACACCGGAUGAAGCUGAAAUUCUAUUGAAUAAUAUGUUGACAAAAGAAAAUAAUUGGACACUUCCUGAGCCAGCUCCUGAGCCUAUUCCUAAACCAACUCCGAAGAAGAGGGGUAUUCUAUUUCUCAGUCCUGAAGAUAUGCAAGAGGCAAAGAAAUCCAUGAAAGAAAAGGGUAUUAAAGCUGAAGAUGUUAAGAAUUUACCUCCUAUUGAAGAAAUACACGGUCUUAAUUUACCGCCUGUUGAAGAAACAUAUGAUCUUAAUCCAUUACCUAUUGAAGAAAUACAUGGUCUUGAUAACCCGACACAAGUAGUAAAGGUAAACUCUCUCUAUAGAUAUGAUAAAAUUGAAAUCCCUCUUACUAAGUUUGCUAGCCAAUGCUUAGAUGAGUUUGAUAAUUUUAUGGUGAAGCAAGAAGAUUUUAAUUCUUAUUUUGGUAGACAAUUGAAAUACAAUUCAAAUAUGCUUGAACACUUGGGUGAUUAUAUGGCUAAUGUUAAAGGUGAAAUUAAACUUAUUAGCAAACAUGCUUCUAUGGUUACCACUCAAGUAGAACAAGUACUUAAAGCUCAAAAUGAUUUGCUCAAUGAACUGAAUAGUAAGAAUAAUGAUAAUGCUGUUAGAGUUAUGACUAGAGGUGGUAAAAUGACUCAAGAACCUUUGUAUCCUGAAGGCCAUCAUAAGAGAAUUGAGCAAGAUUCUCGGAGAAAUAAUAUAGAUGCACCUAGUUCUUCUAAAAGGAAGAAAAAGAAAAAUGAUAGGACUUUGCAUGCUUCUAGUGAACCUAUUGAUGAAACACCUGAGAAUCCAAAUGAUAUUUCUAUUUCUGAUGCUGAAACACAAUCUGGUAAUGAACCUGAAACUAGUGAUAAUAUUAAUGAUAAUGUUCAUGUUGAUGCUCAACCUAGCAAUGAUAAUGAUAUAGAAAUUGAACCUGUUGUUGAUCUUGAUAACCCACAAUCAAAGAAUCAACGUUAUGAUAAGAGAGACUUUGUUGCUAGGAAACAUGGUAAGGAAAGAGAGCCUUGGGUUCAGAAACCCAUGCCUUUUCCUCCCAAACCAUCCAAGAAAAAGGAUGAUGAGGAUUUUGAGCACUUUGCUGAAAUGAUUAGACCUACCUUUUUGCGUAUGCGAUUAACUGAUAUGCUUAAAAUGAAUCCUUAUGCUAAGUACAUGAAAGAAAUUGUUACUAAUAAAAGAAAGAUACCGGAAGCUGAAAUUUCCACCAUGCUUGCUAAUUAUACUUUUAAAGGUGGAAUACCUAAGAAACUAGGAGAUCCCGGAGUACCAACUAUACCAUGCUCCAUUAAAAGAAAUUAUGUUAAAAUUGCUUUAUGUGAUCUUGGAGUCGGUGUUAGUGUUAUGCCUCUCUCUUUAUAUCAUAGACUUGAUUUGAAUAAGUUGACACCUACUAAAAUAUCUUUGCAAAUGGCUGAUAAAUCAACUGCUAUACCUAUCGGUAUUUGUGAGGAUGUGCCUGCUGUGGUUGCAAACGUUACUAUUUUAAUGGACUUUGUUAUUCUUGAUAUUCCCGAGGACGAUAGUAUGUCUAUUAUUCUUGGAAGACCCUUUUUGAAUACUGCAGGGGCUGUUAUUGAUUGCAACAAAGGCAAUGUCACUUUUCAUGUUAAUGGUAAUGAGCAUACGGUACACUUUCCGAGGAAACAACCUCAAGUCCACAGUAUCAAUUCUAUUGGAAAAAUUCAAUCGAUUAUUUUUGAAGGUUUUGAAUUUCCUCUUCCUACUGUCAAAAGAAAUAUGAUAUUCUUAUUAUUGGGGAUGUGCAUAUCCCCGUUGAGGUAACAUAGUGUUAUUCGAAAUUCCUCCGGUUCCAUGUUAUUCGGAAUGAGUUUGCUAACAAGACUUGAUCAACCAUGUUAACGGAUUCCUUUUGAUGAGCAUGAGAUGGAUGAAACUAGAAGGCACAACUCUCCGUACCCUCCUUUUACUUUCUGUUAUUUAUAUUAAAUAAAAUUAAAAGAAGUAUUUUCCGUCUGUUAUCUGAUUUAUCCGUGCAAUAUAAAAUACCCCGAAAAUAAAAGUUCUCCAAAUGCCUUGAAAUUUAAAUAUGAUUUUUUCUGGAAUAUUUGAGAAUAUUUGGCACUAAGAACACAACACAGGGGGCAUCCACCUGGCCACGAGAGUGGAGGGCGCGCCCUACCCCCCCUGUGCGUGCCCCUUGCCUCGUGGGCCCACGGUGGCCCUCCUCCACUUAUUCCUGCACCCACACACUCCUUCCUCCCAUAAACACGAUUAUCCAGUUCGAACCCAAGUCCAAGCUCAUUUUGCUGCUAUUUUCGAUCUCCUUGCUCAAAGCACCUCUCACAAAACUGCUUGGGGGGAUUGUUCCUUGGUAUGCGACUCCUCCAUUGGUCCAAUUAGUUUUUGUUCUAGUGCUUUAUUCAUUGCAAAUUUAUGUUGUCUAGGUGCCCAUGUUCCUGAGCUUGCAUGUCAAAUUUAUGUGGUUCCAACUAGUUUUGAUGCAUGAUAUAGGCUCUAGGCACUUGUAGGAGUUGUUGCUAUCAAUUUUGUUGAGCUUGGCUCACUUUUAUUUGAAGUUACUAAAAAUUUCAGAAUUUUUCAGAAAAUAAUGAAGAGAUUUUUGAGGGGCUCAUCAAGCCGAAGCUCGAAGGAAAAGCAAAAUGAAAAAGCAGAGAGGCCCGAAUAUAAUCUGCCUCGCACCGCAGAGGUUCGGCCGUGUGAAUGGCCUUCCAAUGAUUUCUUGAGAGCAGUCGGGAUUUAUGAUGAUUUUUAUGAAUUGGCUGAGAAUGUAGGCCUCACCGCCUUCCUCCAUGACCAACGCGAACAAUAUCUCUUACUCACCAAUAUCUUUGUGCAAAACUUUCAUUUCCAUGCUAGGAGCUCACCACCUACGGUGGAGUUUUAUUUGUAUGAUGAGCACAAGGAGAUGUCACUUUACGAUUUCUGUCGGGUUUGAUUGAUCCCUUUCGAGGGCACAAUAGAGGAACCACACCGCGGUGAUGUGGAUGGGUUUAUAGAUACCAUCACUGUAGGGGAAACGAGGAAGGUUUCCGAUGCACGAAUCACUAGCAUACAUUUUCCUGUUUUACGCUACUUUGCAAUAUUUGCUAGUCGUUGCUUAAUUGGUCGCGAAAACUGUGGAAACCUUAGUGUUCCUGAUAUUAUUAUUUUGUUCCACGGUUUAUUCUGUGAUAAAUCUGUUAGUAUGGGCGGUAUUAUUGCUAAACGGUUAAGUCUCAACUGUACAAAGGGCCCCAUCUUUGGAGGCAUCUAUGCUUCACGCCUAACUGCGCAUUUUAACAUACCUAUUAAGCAUUAUGAGAAGGAAGAAAAAUUGCUGCCCCUGUUUAUUUAGAUUAUAAGAGUAUGGUGGCACACGAUUUUAUUGUUAAGAAUAGGAAAGGGGAGCUUAAAUACAAAUUGUUCUUUGAUAAACAUCAUCCUGAGACUAUUACCCUGCCUACUCCUUCCUUGUUUGAUUUAUCUCCAGGCAAGUACCUUGUUCCGUUAGAGGCUAUUCACGCCUACCGGAACAUUGCAUCAGCCACAGAGCCAGAGUCGGAACCACUAGUUGAUCCUCCACGACAGUCUAAUUACCAUUGGGAUCCAGAAAUGAUAGCCACCAGUGGAAAUCAGAGUCUUCUUCGCAGUACGACCCCAACUAUUACUAUGGAUAUCCGCCAGGCCAGCCGUGGCCAUAGACCAACUUAGGUCAAAAGCCUAAACUUGGGGGAGUACGUAUUUCCCGCCGACAUUACAUUCAUGUUCGCACACUCAUUGCUAGAUGUCGGUGCUCAUACUUUUUCAUUGUAUCAUCCAUGCUAGUUCAUUUCCUUUUUAAGCUUUCUUCUUGUGUGUUUAAUAAACCUUAAGAAAAACCAAAAAAACUAGUUGUAGCUUUUAGCUAGUUUUAAUUUCCAUGCUUGUAGUAGUAAUUAAAAAGAAAACCCAAAAAAAGAUUUCUUGUUCUUGUUUUGCUCGUUGGGAGCUUUCCCGUGUAAAUAGUUUUAUUUCUUUUCUUUGGGGGUCGAUAGGAGAAUACCAUGAUUAAAUUGUUGAAGUGGCUCUUAUAUAUAUUUUUUAUCUGACAAAAGAGCCCAUAUUGCCUUGUCUUCUCCAGUUUAUUGAAUGCUUGCAGAUUCCAGCUUAGUCCAAUGCACGCGCACUAUUAUUAUUAUCCACAUCGUUCGGUCGUGCAAGUGAAAGGCAAUUAUGACAAUAUAUGAUGGACUGACUGAGAUGAGAAAAGCUGGUAUAAACUCAACCUCUCUUGUUUUUGUAAAUAUGAUUAGUUCAUCGUUCCUGAUUCAGCCUAUUAUGAAUAAACAUGUUUGCAAUGACAACUAGAGAUCAUAGUUUCUUGUGCCAUGCUUGAUUAGCUAGGAGCUUAUAAUGGUUUACCUUGCGUGCCAACAUGCUAUUAAAAUGGUUGUGAUGUGGUAUGAUAGGGUGGUAUCCUCCUCUGAAUGAUUUGAGUGGCUUGACUUGGCACAUGCUCACGCAUGUAGUUGAAAUAAAAUCAACAUAUCCUCUACGAUAUUUAUGUUCAUGGGGAAUUAUAUCCUACUCAUGCUUGCAUUUGGUGUUGAUUAAUUUUAAUGCAUGUUUAUGAGUGUUGUCGCUCUCUAGCUGGUUGCUUCCCAGUCUUUUGCUAGCCUUCACCUGUACUAAGCGGGAAUACUGCUUGUGCAUCCAAUCCCAUAAACCCCAAAGUUAUUCCAUAUGAGUCCACCAUACCUACCUAUUUACGGUAUCUACCUGCCGUUCCAAGUAAAUUUGUAUGUGCCAAACUCUAAACCUUCAAAUAAAUAUCAUGUUUUGUAUGCUCGAAUAGCUCAUGUAUCAACUAGGGCUGUCUGUAUCUUCCAUGUUAGGCGGGUUAUUCUCAAGAGGAGUGGACUCCGCUCCUCACUCACGAGAAAAUGGCUGGUCACCGGGAUGCCCAGUCCCAUGCUUUAUGCAAAUCAAAUCAAAAUAAUUGCAAACAAAACUCUCCCUAGGACUCUUGUUAGUUGGAGGCACUCGUUGUUUUGAGCAAGCCAUGGAUUGAUGCUUGUUAGUGGAAGGGGAGUAUAAACUUUACCAUUCUGUUUGGGAACCGCCUAUAAUGUGUGUAGCAUAGAAUAUAUCGCCCUCUCUUGGUUGUUAUGUUGACAAUGAAAGUAUACUGCUCAAAAUAUUAUUCACCUCUAUUUCAAAACCGAGCUCUGGCACCUCUACAAAUCCCUGCUUCCCUCUGCGAAGGGCCUAUCUAUUUACUUUUAUGUUGACUCAUCAUCCUCUUAUUAAAAAUCACAAGUUGGAGAGCACCGCUGUCAUUUGCAUUCAUUACUGUUAGUUUACAUUGAGUAUGACUGGACUGGAUCUCUUUUACCAUGAAUUACAAUGUCUAGUCAGUCCUUGAUCUUUAAAGGUGCUCUGCAUUUAUGUUUUGCGGUCUCAGAAAGGGCUAGCGAGAUACCAUCUUGUUAUAUCAUAUCAUGAUUGUUUUGAGAAAGUGUUGUCAUCUGAGAUUUAUUAUAUUGCUCGCUAGUUGAUUAUGCCAUUGAUAUGAGUAAACAUGAGACCUAAAUGUUAUUGUGAAUAUGGUUAGUUCAUAAUCUUUGCUGAAAACUUGAAUGCUGGCUCUACAUAUUUACAACAACAAGAGCAAACAGAGUUUGUAAAAGUUUUUCUUUAUCACUUUCAGCUUAUCAACUGAACUGCUUGAGGACAAGCAAAGGUUUAAGCUUUGGGCAGUUGAUACGUCUUCGUCGUAUCUACUUUUCCAAACACUUUUGCCCUUGUUUUGGACUCUAACUUGCAUGAUUUGAAUGGAACUAGCCCGGACUUACGCUGUUUUCAGCAGAAUUGCCAUGGUGUUAUUUUUGUGCAGAUAUAAAAGUUCUCGGAAUGACCCGAAAAUCAACGGAGAAUUAUUUUGGAAUACAUAAAUAAUACUGGAAGGAAGAUCCACGUCAGGGGGGCCUCCACCUGUCCACGAGGGUGGGGGCGCGCCCUACCCCCCUGGUGCUACCUCUUGAGCACUGCGUUGGUUUUCCCUUGAAGAGGAAAGGGUGAUGCAGUAAAGUAGCGUAAGUAUUCCCCUCAGUUUUUGAGAACCAAGGUAUCAAUCCAGUAGGAGAUCACGCUCGAGUCCCACGCACCUACACAACCAAAUAAGAACCUCGCAACCAACGCGAUAAAGGGGUUGUCAAUCCCUUCACGGUCACUUACGAGAGUGAGAUCUGAUAGAUAUGGUAAGAUAAUAUUUUGGUAUUUUUAUGAUAAAGAGAAAUAAAGAUGCAAAGAAAAAUAAACGGCAAUAGAAAUAACUAAGUAUCACCUGGGCGCACCCCCUGCCUCGUGGGCCCCCUGACGCUCCACCAACCUCAACCCUGACUUCAUAUAUUCACUUUCGGGGAGAAAAAACCAGAGAGAAAGAUUCAUCACAUUUUACGAUACGGAGCCGCCGCCAAGCCCUAAACUCUCUCGGGAGGGCUGAUCUGGAGUCCGUUCGGGGCUCCGAAGAGGGGAAUCCAUCGCCAUCAUCAUCAUCAACCUUCCUCCAUCACCAAUUUCAUGAUGCUCACCGUCGUGCGUGCAUAAUUCCAUCGUAGGCUUGCUGGACGGUGAUGGGUUGGAUGAGAUUUAUCAUGUAAUCGAGUUAGUUUUGUUAGGGUUUGAUCCCUAGUAUCCACUAUGUUCUGAGAUUGAUGUUGCUAUGACUUUGCUAUGCUUAAUGCUUGUCACUAGGGCCCGAGUGCCAUGAUUUCAGAUCUGAACCUAUUAUGUUAUCAUCAAUAUAUGAGCGUUCUUGAUCCUAUCUUGCAAGUCUAUAGUCACCUACUAUGUGUUAUGAUCCGGCAACCCCGAAGUGACAAUAAUCGGGACCACUCCUGGUGAUGACCGUAGUUUGAGGAGUUCAUGUAUUCACUAUGUGUUAAUGCUUUGGUCCGGUACUCUAUUAAAAGGAGGCCUUAAUAUCCCUUAGUUUCUGCUAGGACCCCGCUUCCACGGGAGGGUAGGACAAAAGAUGUCAUGCAAGUUCUUUUCCAUAAGCACGUAUGACUAUAUUCGGAAUACAUGCCUACAUUACAUUAAUGAAUUGGAGCUAGUUCUAUGUCACCCUAGGUUAUGAUUGUUACAUGAUGAACCGCAUCCGACAUAAUUCUCUAUCACUGAUCCAUUGCCUACGAGCUUUCCAUAUAUUGUUCUUCGCUUAUUUACUUUUCCAUUGCUAUUGCUAUCAUCACUACAAAAUACCAAAAACAUUACUUUUGCUAUCGUUACCUUUUGCUGCCGUUACCACUACUAUCAUAUUACUUUGCUACUAAACACUUUGCUGCAGAUAUUAAGUUUCCAGGUGUGGUUGAAUUGACAAGUCAGCUGCUAAUAGUUGAGAAUAUUCUUUGGCUCCCCUUGUGUUGAAUCAAUAAAUUUGGGUUGAAUACUCUACCCUUGAAAACUGUUGCGAUCCCCUAUACUUGUGGGUUAUCAUUGCUCCUGCAGCGGGUCUUGCACAUAGCGGUGCUUCCAGGACGUAAUUCUUCUGUGUAGCAAUGAGGAUAAUCCUCAAGUUACGGACCUAGUCCAUGUAGUUGCUACCAUCAUCUUUCAACUUAGGUUUCUCUACGAACGCAUUAAAAUUCAAAGGGACAUUAGCACGGGCCAUUGAUCUACAACAACAUAGACAUGCAAACUACUAUCAGGUGCUAAGUUCAUGAUAAAUUAAAGUUCAAUUAAUCAUAUUACUUAAGAACUCCCACUUAGAUAGACAUCCCUCUAGUCAUCUAAAUGAUCACGUGAUCCAUAUCAACUAAACCAUGUCCGAUCAUCUCGUGAGAUGGAGUAGUUUCAAUGGUGAACAUCACUAUGUUGAUCAUAUCUACUAUAUGAUUCACGCUCGACCUUUCGGUCUCAGUGUUCCGAGGCCAUAUCUGCAUAUGCUAGGCUCGUCAAGUUUAACCCGAGUAUUCUGCGUGUGCAAAACUGGCUUGCACCCGUUGUAUGUGAACGUAGAGCUUAUCACACCCGGUUAUCACGUGGUGUCUCGGCACGACGAACUAUAGCAAUGGUGCAUACUCAGAGAGAACACUUGUACCUUGAAAUUUAGUGAGAGAUCAUCUUAUAAUGCUACCGCCGUACUAAGCAAAAUAAGAUGCAUAAAGGAUAAACAUCACAUGCAAUCAAAAUAAGUGAUAUGAUAUGGCCAUCAUCAUCUUGUGCCUUUGAUCUCCAUCUCCAAAGAACCGUUAUGAUCACCAUCAUCACCGGCUUGACACCUUGAUCUCCAUCGUAGCAUCGUUGUCAUCUCGCCAACUAUUGCUUCUACGACUAUCGCUACCACUUAGUGAUAACGUAAAGCAAUUACAUGGCGAUUGCAUUUCAUACAAUAAAGCGACAACCAUAAGGCUCCUGCCAGUUGCCGAUAACUUUUACAAAACAUGAUCAUCUCAUACAACAACUUAUAUAUCAUCACGCAAAAACAAGUUAGACGUCCUCUACUUUGUUGUUGCAAGUUUUACGUGGCUGCUACAGGCUUCUAGCAAGAACCGUUCUUAUCUACGCAUCAAAACCACAAUGAUUUUUCAUCAAGUGUGUUGUUUUAACCUUCAACAAGGACCGGGCGUAGUCAAACUCGAUUCAACUAAAGUUGGAGAAACAGACACCCAGUAGCCACCUGUGUGUGAAGCACCUCGAUGGAACCAGUCUCAUGAACGCGGUCAUGUAAUGUCGGCCUGAGCUGCUUCAUCCAACAAUACCGCCAAAUCAAAGUAAGACGUUGCUGGUAAGAAGUAUGACUAUUAUCGUCCACAACUCAUUGUGUUCUACUCGUGCAUAUAACAUCUACGCAUAGACCUGGCUCGGAUGUCAUUGUUGGGGAACGUAGUAUUUCAAAAAAAAUCAUACGAUCACGCAAGAUAUAUCUAGGAGAAGCAUAGCAAUGAGCGGGGAGAGUGUGUUCACGUACCCUCGUAGACCGAAAGCGGAAGCGUUUAGUAACACGGUUGAUGUAGUCGAACGUCUUUGCGAUCCAAUCGAUCCAAACACCAAACGUACGACACCUCCGCGUUCAGCACACGUUCAGCUUGAUGACAUCCCUCGAGCUCUUGAUCCAGUUGAGGCCGAGGGAUAGUUCCGUCAGCACGAUGGCGUGGCGACGGUGAUGAUGAAGUUACCGGCGCAGGGCUUCGCCUAAGAACUACGACGAUAUGACCGAGGUGUGUAACUGUGGAGGGGGGCAACGCCCACGGCUAAGAGAAACUUGUGUCUUUGGGGUGCCCCCCUCCCACGUAUAUAAAUGGGGGGAGGAGGCCGGCCCAAAGGGGGGCGCGCCACAUGUUGGGGGUCCUACUAGGACUCCCUAGUCCUAGUAGGAUUCCCCUCUCCUUUCCUUUUACGGAAGGGGGAAAGGGGGGAAGGAGAGGAGGGGAAGAGGGAAAGGGGGCACGCCCCCUCCCCUUCCUAUUCGGACUCCACUUGGGGGGACGCGCACGCCUCCCCCUUGUGGGUUGUACCCUCUUCUCUCCCAUGGCCCAUAAGGCCCAUGAUUUCCCCCGGGGGGUUCCGGUAACCUCCCGGUACUCCAGAAAAAUGCUCGAAUCACUCGGAAUCAUUCUGAUGUUUGAAUGCAACCUUCCAAUAUAUGAAUCUUUACCUCUCGACCAUUUCUGUGAUCUCAUCCGGGACUCCGGACAAACUUCAGUCAUCAAAUCACAUAACUCAUAAUACAAAUUGGCACGAACGUUAAGCAUGCGGACCCUAUGGGUUUGAGAACUAUGUAGACAUGACUGAGACACAUCUCCGGUCAUUAACCAAUAGCGGAACCUGGAUGCUCAUAUUGGCUCCUACAUAUUCUACGAAGAUCUUUAUCGGUCAAACCGCAUAACAACAUACGUAGUUCCCUUUGUCAUAUGUAUGUUAUUUGCCCGAGAUCCGAUCGUCGGUAUCCCCAUACCUAGUUCAAUCUCGUUACCGUCAAGUAUCUUUACUUGUUCCGUAAUGCAUCAUCAUGUAACUAACUCAUUAGUCACAUUGCUUGCAAGGCUUAUAGUGAUGUGCAUUACCGAGAGGGCUUAGAGAUACCUCUCUGAUACACGAAGUGGCAAAUCCUAAUCUCGAUCUAUGCCAACUCAACAAACACCAUCAGAGACACCUGUAGAGCAUCUUUAUAAUCACCCAGUUACAUUGUGACGUUUGAUAGCACACUAAGUGUUCCUCCGGUAUUCGGGAGUUGCAUAAUCUCAUAGUCAUAGGAACAUGUAUAAGUCAUAAAGAAAGCAAUAGCAAUAAAAUUAAACGAUCAUUAUGCUAAGAUAACGGAUGGGUCUUGUCCAUCACAUCAUUCUCUAAUGAUGUGAUCCCGUUCAUCAAAUGACAACACAUGUCUAUGGUUAGGAAACUUAACCAUCUUUGAUUAACGAGCUAGUCUAGUAGAGGCAUACUAGGGACACUCUGUUUGUCUAUGUAUUCACACAUGUACUAAGUUUCUGGUUAAUACAAUUCUAGCAUGAAUAACAAAGAUUUAUCAUGAUAUAAGGAAAUAUAAAUAACAACUUUAUUAUUGCCUCUAGGGCAUAUUUCCUUCAGGAAGAGCAUCGCGGGUGGGAGGGAGAAGGGGAAUUAAGAGAGUGUGGGUUUGGGUUUGGGCCUCCGCGUGCUAUGUGUACACAUGUGUUGGUGGGUCGAUAGUAGUGGUCCUGGGUUUAUACCCCACGCUACUACUAUGGCCUAUCCCGGGGGUACGGUAGAGACCGCUUAGUAGUAGCGAGGGAUUUAUACCCCUCACUACUACUAUCAACUUAGUAGUAGUGAGGGAUUUAUACCCCUCGCUACUACUAUCAACUUAGUAGUAGUGAGGGAUUUAUACCCCUCGAUACUACUAUGGCCAGUCCCGGGGGGCACGGUGGAGACCACUUAGUAGUAGUGUGGGGUUUAUACCCCUCGCUACUACUAUCAACUUAGUAGUAGUGUGGGUUCUAUACCCCUCGCUACCAAUAAUUAGCAGCAGUGUGGCCCAUAUACCCCUCGCUACGGUUAAGCAUCUAUCUAUAAAGUAUUUUCUAGUAGUGCAUCGAUGGCGGCGAAAUCAGUCGUUCUGCUUGUUUUCCCUACUAGCUCUCUGACGUCCAGAACAAGUUUACGGUCAUAAGGUGCAAUAACCUUGCCUUCAUGAGUGACACGAUGACACGGGAACAGGCUUCCAAGCCUAUGGUGUCGCAUCAUGUCGUGGUCUGCUAGACUUAGUGGACGAAUGCUACUACAAUAUCGGUUGAUCUCAUACUACAAUACCAAGGAAGACACGCAACUACUAUAUAUAUUUCUUCAAGUCAGUCAACACAAGUAAAAUCUGGGAGUUCAACUGGUGCAGCUAUGCAAUGCUAAUGGAGACAACACAAUUCAACUUUAGCACUUCACACAUAAGCAACACCACGUUCAAUGGCACACACCUUAGAGUGUACCUAUGGUGGUUGAUUGGGCUAUAAGAAAUGUGAGUCCAUGUGAAGAUGCCAAAUAUAAUAACACGGCUAAUUACACAUGCAGUGGCAGCAGCAACAAGUGCAUGAAUUCCACAAAUGAUCUAGGGUACACAUGCAACUGUGUCCUUGAGUAUGACAACAACCCUUAUCUUCUAGACAAAUGCAUGGUAUGCUACUAAUUUAUUUGCUAAAUAUUCCAAUGAAUUGUGUCCUUUACUUUGUACAUACCCAAUUAUAAUAUUUUAUUUUGCUAAUACAAUGUAGCCUUCAAUUUAAACCAAGGUUUGCAUCCAUUAAUUAUGUUAGGUUCAUAUGACUUCACUACAUAAAUAGGUAGAUAAUGCAUAAGACUGAGAUUGUAGCUAGGGAUGAAAAUCUAAAUACGGCAUGAAUCUAACAAUUAUGAGUAAUGUCUUUGUGACAAGAACUUUCUUUGUCUUUUAUUCCCAUGUUUGAACUAGUAUAGGUCAGGGUUACACAUUAUGGUGCACAUCACUUUAUUUGUCAUCGUUACAUUGAACACUCAUUGACUAAACAACGAUGAUCCAUCCGUCUUGUAUUACAGGUCUUCAUUUCAUUGGCCACCGAUGCUUGUAAGACUACUCCCAGAUGGUUGUUGUUGUGGAUAUGGUUGUUGAGGUUGGUGUGGUUGCUGGGGGAAUGGUUGUUGGGGUUGCUGGGAAAUUGUUUGUUCUAGUUGCUGGGAUAAUUGUUGUUGGGGCUGCAGAAAUGGUUGUUGUGGUUGUUGUGGUUGCAGGAUGGAGGGUUGCUGGGAAAAUGGUUGUUGCGGUCGUAGGGGGAAUGGUUGUUGUGGUUGUAGAGGGAAAGGUUGUUGUGGUUGUUGAGGGAAUGGUUGUUGUGGUUGUUGGGGGAAUGAUUGUUGUGGUUGCAGGGGGAAUGGUUGUUGUGGUUGCUGGGGGAANNNNNNNNNNNNNNNNNNNNNNNNNNNNNNNNNNNNNNNNNNNNNNNNNNNNNNNNNNNNNNNNNNNNNNNNNNNNNNNNNNNNNNNNNNNNNNNNNNNNNNNNNNNNNNNNNNNNNNNNNNNNNNNNNNNNNNNNNNNNNNNNNNNNNNNNNNNNNNNNNNNNNNNNNNNNNNNNNNNNNNNNNNNNNNNNNNNNNNNNNNNNNNNNNNNNNNNNNNNNNNNNNNNNNNNNNNNNNNNNNNNNNNNNNNNNNNNNNNNNNNNNNNNNNNNNNNNNNNNNNNNNNNNNNNNNNNNNNNNNNNNNNNNNNNNNNNNNNNNNNNNNNNNNNNNNNNNNNNNNNNNNNNNNNNNNNNNNNNNNNNNNNNNNNNNNNNNNNNNNNNNNNNNNNNNNNNNNNNNNNNNNNNNNNNNNNNNNNNNUGGUUGCAGAGGGAACGAUUGUUGGGUCUGGGGAAAUGGUUGUUGUGGUUGCCAGGAAAAUGGUUGUUGGGGCUGUGGAAAAGGUUGUUGUGGUUGUUGGGGUUGCUGGGGGAAUGGUUGUUGUGGUUGUAAGGGGGUCGGUUGUUGGGGUUGGGGAAAUAAUUGUUGUGAUUGCUGGGGAAAUUGUUGUUGGGGUGUGGAAAAUGGUUGUUGUGAUGGAUAUGGUUGCUGUGAUGGAUAUGGUUGUUGUGGAUAUGGCUGUUGUGGAAAUAGUUUUUGUUGAUGGGAAAAUGAUUGUUGAGGUGAUUGUAACUCUUUGUUGUUAGGGUUUAGUUGCCUAGCGGCAAUGGCGGUGUUCAUCGCCAUGGCAAGGAGGACAAAGAUGAGGAAGGUCUUCAUGUUGGAUUUGUGGUUACUACUGCUUGCUUGCCUUUGAUGCUUGUGGUCUAGGUGUGUGAAGUUUUGUUGAUGGAAGGUGUCCUUGGUGGUGCAUGUGUAUUUAUAGUUUUCAUGGCAUGGCUUGCUUUCAUCUUUGCACUCGCUCUUUGAAAAAGUGCAUCAAUGCUUAUCCAACUAAUCAUUUGGUUUGUUGUGUUUGGUGCAACUACUUACUAGUGAGAUUUUGGAUUUUCAUGAUAGUUGUUUUUUGUUGAAAUCAUCUGGUUGUAAGGAAUGUUGGAUAAUGACCAAUGACUCAUCUUCUUCACUUUACACUGCAAACAUUGAUCUAGAUUAUGUCCCUUUUUGAAAUUUAGUUUGUGGAGCUCUACAUGUUGUUAGGCUUAUCCAUAUUGGCAUAGCUUGAGUGGAGCUAAGUUUGUAAGCUUGUGUGCGCCAUUAUGAUGGAUCACACUAUUAAUGUGAUGAUUGUUUUACAAAUUAUCUUUCCAAAACUAACUUUAUGUUUUUUGCCCAAUAUGAUUCUAAGACGGAUAACCAGACAUGACUCAUCAAAUAACAAGAUAAACCGAGUAGCAAGUUGGGGGUUAUAAGUUAUAAUAUGGACUUUUCUCUAAGAUACACCAUCUUGUCUUGCAUGCUCUGUGGAUUUGAAAAGCAUCUACUAAUUUAGAUGCAAUUGAAACAAAAGUAGACUAAAAAGGUAAGCAAUGAAAUGAGAAUACUAUUAUGUGAAGCUCUACAUGUCUGGUAAGCAGUGAGAUACUGGAUACAUCUAUAUCUUCAAUCCUUUCAUCCCUAUCAACUCUUUAUUGGCUGCUUUUAUCGUAGUCAUCCCUUAAAUAAAAAUCACUUAAAUAUAAGUUUGGGAGUUAGUACCAACAUAUAUCAUGUACAAGAUAGAAAACUAAGGCACAUAUAGUAGUCUAUUGACCAUAUUUAAUUUCUUGUGAUGUGAAAGCAUGUGGAGUAUAAGUUGGUUAAAUAUAAAGUUGUCCUUCAUACCAGUAGGGAAAGAAUAUGCAGUAUAAAGAUUAGAGCAUUGGACUAAUAUGCUAUUAAAUGCUACAGGAUAAUUGACAGUUCAAGUUAAGAACAACAUUAGCAUUCCAACUUUUGUCUUGUGCAAGUUAAGAACAUGCUAACAAAGUAACCUAAGCAAAUAAGUGCAAAACCUUCACCUAUAAGGAAAUUGUGAAACUACACAAAAUGACCUAUUGUAAAGAAGGAAAAAAAUCUAAAGGUGAAUGAAAGAACGUUAAGUACAUUCAGGAUUCGAUUAUGCCUUCAUGGAUAACCUUUUAGAUGGUGACAUGUCCAUGUUGAUGUGUGUCGGCAUGGAACGAGGACAAGAAGACGUCGUUGCGUCGUACUUUGGGAAUUUCAUCAAACUGGUUGUGUGCGGGAACAAAUAUUUGUCGCCUCCCUGCUCAAAUCUCUCUUCAUGUCACUGAAUCCGACACUCCACCUACCAAAAUCAGCUGCAAGCCAGGGAUAAUCAACGGGUUUCUCCGCCCGUAGCAUCUAUCACCAAAAGUAGUUCAGACUAUAGUCUUGUAGUUCAAAAUUUUGUAAUAACAAGCACUACUAGGUUGCUUUUGUUUGUACGUCUUCAUUCUGUACAACCCAUGGAACUAAAAAUGCAUUGGUCAUUCUUUGUUCUAUACAACCAAUUCAACCAAAAAUGCAUUGGGCUUUUCUUUGUACAUCUUCGGGUUCUACAACCAAUGCAACAAAAAAUCCAUUGGGUAGUCUUCCAUUCUAGUCGGGCACCAACAGUUAAAUGAGGAGCUAAACAAUGUUGGAGUCUAAAACUACAUACAAUCAUGAAGCAUAGAGAGGCGACUUGGAAGCUGUGCUCCUGUGAGCUCGUAUUUUUGUAGACAAAAAGUAAUGUUUGUAUUUUGAAGUGGGAAAAAAUCCUAAAAAGGGAUGUUUUGCGGGUUAUAACUUACUAUUUUUGGGUCCUGGGCUGCAGGAAGGUCGUCAAAAUCAAUGUGUUUUCCCAUUCAAUGCAUGUUUCUUGGGUUAUAGGUCACGCUUUUGGUGUCCUAGGGAGAUCACUUCCCCGGUCAAGAACAUUAGGUGAUGAUUUUUAGAAAAACUCAUUGUUUUAGCCUAACUAGUUUCGAGGAUUGGUGGACGGGAUUAUCAUGGAACAAAGUGACAACCUUCCUUUUCUUCAUGCCUAAUAUAAACUUAGCAGUCAGCUAAAAGUAACUAGCGAUAUCACAGAAUGUUUUUUGUCAAAAGUAGAUACCACUUCAGGAUUCAACUCGGUUAGUUCAAUCACAGACAUGUUAAGAGCAGGAUUUACAACUAACUGCAUAGGGAACAUCUCCUUUUAUCACCCACUAUCUGUCUGUGCACUUUGGUUUUCCCGUAGCAUCACACAAAGCACUUUGUUAGUACCAAUAAUGUGCUCCAACUCUACACAUUAAUCAUCUUGAAUUCUUCUACUGAUGUCGAACAAUGUAAUAUCUUGAAUUCUUCUAACGAGUUCGGAUUAGACUACAUGGGCAAUUUAUCUGGUCCCUGAGAUGCAAGGUCGAUGAACAAUCGCUUCGUCUUAUGACGAGGGGUUGUUUUUGCCUAAGAAACUAAUACAUGUAACUUCGACACCGGAUUAAUAAAUGGUAAAACCUAAAUAAAUUAGAUCACGAGCUAAACCAUUUACUUUUGUAUGCAUUUAAACUUUUGAUACAUAUGAGCUUGUUAAGAUGUUCGCAUAAACACCAUGGUGAUUUGAAGCAAGACAAAGUAAACUUGAACCGCUUGAGCCACUGACUUAAUAAGAACCUCCUUUCCCGCGGCAGAGAUUGUUUUUAAUACAUCCACUCACUUUGGCCCAUAGUUUGUCUUUGAGAUACUUAAAAGCACUAGACAUAGAAUUGACAAUAUUAGAAGGCAAGCCCAAAUAUUUCACAUUUAGUGUUUCUACUUGGACACUGAGACCACCUUUGACCUCAUUUUUGACAUUCUCUCUGCAAUCCUUGCUGAGAAACACUGAAGGCUUCCUAUUUAUUUAUUCUUGACCUAAAGCUUCAUUGCGUCUUGCCUUGGUCUUGCACUACUUGCGGCACAAUACGCCUUUGGAACUGCCGUUCCGAAUUCAGAGUGCCGAAGGUGGUGUGACGAUGUUGAGAUACCGUACUCGUUCGGUAGUGAUUCGGGUUGAUCAUUCAGAGUAGACUUUGACAAUAGCUGCAAGGACAAGAUUGCAUUAGGGAGCCUUUUAAUUACACCUCGGAGGUGCUCAGCAUCUUCUUGAUGAACAACAUGGUCCUAGUGUUGAAUAAUAUCAUAUGGGGUAGUGCUACAACAACUCCACCACAAGCAUGGAGGAAUUUAGCAAAUUCCAUCAGUACUAGGAGAAAGCCUAGUAGCAACGCGAGGUAAAGGACUACUAGUAGCGCGGGUGCCCACGCUACUACUAGGGUGCUACAGCUAAUUGGUAGUAGUAGCGUGGGUGACACCCUGCGCUACUACCACGUCUGUUAGUAUAGUAGCGCGAGUGUCACCCGCACUACUACUAGUUAUCUGUAGCCCGGGUCUGACCCCACGCUACUACUAACUAAUUAGGAAUUAAAAAAAUAAAUUCCAUCCAUGGUUGCUGCUGCUGGGCGUCAUCGUCCUCUCCGUCCAUGGCUGAUGUUGGUCCUGGAGGGGAUGACGUCGUCCAUGGUGAUGGUACUUCCUCACCCAAAUCGUCCCCACACCUCUCCUAUGCUACUGCUACAAAAUAAGAGAAAACGAUUAGAAGAGGAAGAGAGAUAUUGAGAGGAGUAGGAGGAGCAACUGACCGGUGGCCGCCGGAGUUGGAGCUGAUGCCCGAAACCCUAGACGAUGCCCGGUGACCUGUUGCUUCUUUUCCUGGGACCUCAUGUCCUCACAAGGCCAUGUCUCAGCGAGGAAGUGCAAGUGGUUGCGUAGCAGAUCUGUUCAUCGCCAUUGGUGGCGCUCUGUUGGAUCUUCCUCUCCUUCCAGCAUCGGAGAAGGAGGAGGAAGGAGGCGAAGGUGAGGCGUAAGUCAGUGGCCCAAAAUUUUUAUAUAGAUGAGACUUACUAAGUAAUAACCCCAUAGAAUCUAUCUAUAUAAAGAUAAAGAGGCAAUCGUGUCAGGAAGCGGGUUUUUCUUUGGCCAAAAGGUACUUAGAACUUGGAACGAGCAUGAAGAGAUUAACGAGACUUCUUUCUCUUUUGAGUUUUUCUGGCGGACCUGCCGCGCAAGAUCUUUGGUCUUCCCCUGGAACCGAUGAAAAAAAGUGGAUUGCUUCUUAUGUACUCGCUCAGCUUAAGAUGCUCGCAUAAUCCCCGUGGUAAUUUGAAGCAAUACAUAGAGUAAACUAGAACUGCUUGAGCCACUAACUUAAUGAGAACCUCCUUUCCCGUAGGAUAUAUCAUUUUUUCAAUCCAUCCAUUCACUUUGGCCCAUAGUAUGUCUUUGAGAUACUUAAAAGCAGUAGAUUAGAAUUACCAAUAUCAUAAGGCAAGCCCAAAUAUUUCUCAUUUAGUGUUUCUGUUGGACACUGAGAACACCUUUGACCUCAUAUCUAACAUUCUCUACACAACCCUUGCUGAGAAACACUGAAGACUUGCUAUUAUUUAUUCUUUGACCUGAAACUUGGCAAUAGGUUUGACACAUCUGUCGCCCCUGAACCAUUUGCCUUGAAAAACAGCAGGCUGUCAUCUGCAAAUAACAAGUGGUUAACUGAUGCCACCAAAGGAGCUACUUGGAUUCCAGUAAACUGGGAUGACUAGUCUCUAGAUUUGAGGAGGCCCGAAAGGCCAUGUACUGCUAACAGGAAAAUCAAGGUGAAUUGGAUCUUGCUGCCGUAUACCACGGGUAGGUUUGAGCUCAUCAAGUUUCUUGCUCUUGAAUAAAAUUGAAUAAGAUACAGAAGCUACCAUGCUCAUUUCUAUGGAGGCCCAUUUAACAGAGAAUCCAAAGUUGAGAUUUAUCACCUCCAAAUACGCCCAUUCAACUAGAUUAUAAGCCUUCAUCAUAUCCAAUUUUAGAGUACAAUGGUGAUGUUACAAUGACUUAUUCCUUUUCAUGAAAUGUAAGCACUCGUAGGCCACGAUUAUAUUGUCAGUGAUAAGGCGACCCGGAACAGAAGCCGACUCUUCACUCAAUAUUAUCUCCGGAAGGGCCCCUUUUAGCCGGUUAGCCAGAACUUUGGGUGUUAUUUGUAAAGUUGCAUAGGCUAAUACGACAGAACUGGCUUAGGAAAGUACCAUUUUGUACCUCAUCACUAUCCUCGCCACAAUACAAAGGACAACCAUUGUUACCUCCUCGCCGCAAAUAUCCCAAUGUUUCUCAAAGAAAUGUUCAAAGAAUCCGUCCGGGCCCAAGGCCUUCAUGCGGAACAUUUGAAACAAUACAAUUUAAACCUUGUUGUAGAAUACUUAGCGUCAAGGAAGGCAUUCAUCGCAUCACUGACCUUUACUGGAACCAAGUCAGGAAAUCAUGCAUAUUAGAAACAGUCUCAGAAGUGAAAAGCUCCGAGUAAAACUAUGUUGUGAUCUCUUCCAAUUCCUUAAGAACACUGAUAACAUCACAUUAGGUUGCUACAAUGAUUUGGUCAAAUUAUUCCGCCUUCUCAUCGAAGCCCUUAAGUGAAAGAAGCAUGUGGUCUUGUCCCCACUAAUCAGCCACUUAAUCUGAGAUCUAGUAGGCAAGAUGAGUGACGGGAAGUAGUUCGGAACAAUUUCCUCUUAUUCACUUCUAAAACAAAUUUUCGGUUUUUGUCGUUCCUAAGCCAAGGAUUUGAUAAAUAUUCAUAAAUUUUUAAAAUGUUCACCAAUAUUAAAAACAUCAUGAUUUUAAAAAACCGUGAUUUUUAAACAAAAUCAUAAAUAUGAAAAUUGCCAUUCACAAAAUUUUAAAAUAAAAUCAUGAAUUUUAAAAGAAUUUUCAAAAUUUUGAUAAAUAUCUACGAAUUUUACAACUUUGAUGAAUUUUAAAAACAAACCAUAACAAAAAAACACUAGCAAGUUCGAUCCUAAAAAAUGCCUUGCCUUCUACUAUGCGUAGCGUGCAUGGACAGCCGGACCUAGACACCCUAGACCAAAAACCCUACAUCUGGGCCAGGCCCGAGCUCCAUUUUUUGGCCCAAAGCCCAGCCCAAAAAGGCAGAAAUGGUAAGAAAUGUAUACUUUAUUCAAAAUAUAGGUAUAUUAUAUUGUUUUAGUAUCUCAAAUAAUUAUUUAAAUUGAAAAAUGUCGUUGUUCAUGUGUUUCUGGACGGGCCAAGCCAGGCUCAUGCUUGGGAUUUUUGCUUCGGGCUUUGACAACCUGGCCCGGGGUAUGAUCAAGUUCAGCAUGGCCCAGUCACACACCCUUGUACAACAUUUUGUUGUAGAGAGCGGCAAAUAUAAUUUUCCCGAUCUAAUAUUGCUCGCUAUAAGUCUAUAUCUAUACUUUUUUCUAUACCCAUACUAAUAAAGCAAGGUGCGUUUCCCCAAUUUUUUCAUUCAUUCACUGUCGAAAACAAUUAUGUUUCCUAUCCGAGGUGGUCCUAAAUUCUUAUGCGUUCAUCUGCUAAAAGAAAGGCUUUUCCGGAAUUUCUUACGUGGGUUGCGCGCUAUGGCCAGUGAAGUCAGCCCACUUAUUUUUCUGCCCAUGCAGCUCUAAAAAAUCUAUUUAACACACAGGGCAAGAAAUAGUCGGCACUUCAAACUGGAAAACAAAUAAUGGGCUAGCCAAUUUUUCUUUGUUUCUGUGUUUUAUUUCUAUUUUUAUUCUCCUUCCCCGAUUUCUUUUUUCACUUCCAAGUUUACAUUUCUUAUAGAAUUUAUUUUAUAAAUUCAAAAUUCUCAAAAAACAUAGAGAAUUUUAAAAAAAUGGAAAAUGUUCAUAACUCCAAUUUUUUUGCUAUUUAAAUUUUUUUCAGAACUUGAAUUUUUUCCCUUUUUCCGAAAAUUUUAUUGUUUUUUAAAAUUGUUAGAGAUUUCUAAAAAGAAAAUGGAAAUUUAAAAAGUCUUCCAAAUUCGAAAAAAAAUCAUGUUUUAGUGAAAUUUUCACAACUCAAAUUAUUCUUAAAAAAUACACAUUUUAAAAAGUAAGGAUUUUCAAUACAUGUUCCCGUUCUAAAAAAAUGUUGACAAAUUCAAAUAAUGUUCAUGUUUUUAUUUUAAAAGUUCGUGUUUUCAAAAAUGUUUGUAAAUUCUAAAAGAUGUUCCUAUUUCAUAUUUUGUUCAUGUUUUUCUGAAAGUGUACCUAAUUUUCAAAAAACUGUUCAGGAUUUAAAAAAUGGUUCAUGUUGCCUACAAUAUUGAGAAACUUCAUACCUUAAAAUCUCCUCGAUUGAAGGAACCAUAGAUUGAAUAAUUCAUGGGCCUUCUCUGGUGGACGAUGACGUAGCAAAACUCUUAAAUGCCCUCAAUCAAUGAAUGGAAAAAUAGCGAAUUGAGUACUUCACACCCAGCGAAACAAAGAAGCUAAAUGUUCCCUUUUUACGUGCGCACAGGGUUUUGCUUGCACAAAUAAUUCUCACUAACUUCCAAUGCAUACUAAUUUUUCUCCCAUUGCGAAGCACAAGCAUAUGUGCUAGUUUUAUCCACGGUGGUACUAAAUUUUUUUGAGUCCAUCUGCUAGAAAAAGGAAAAACAGUUUUGUCAAAAUUUUCGUACAUGGGCCGCGCGCGCUGUGGCCCAGCGAAGCUGGCCCAUUUAUUUCCGGCCGAAGCAGCUGAGAAUAAUUAUUUAACGCUUGGGGCGGCAAAUAGACAAAGUUUCGCAUAGGGCGCCAAAUAUUUGGUCGGCCCAUAUUUGUUUUCUCUCUAGUUUGUUUCUUUUUUUAUUUUCCUUUCUCCUUUUCUUAUCUCUUUACUUUUUCUUUUUUCCCUUUCAAGUUAAUUUUUCUUUUCUCCUUUUCCAUAAAUUAAAUUUUUCAAUAUUUCAGAAUUUUAGUUUUGGAUUAAAUUUUCGUAAAAUCUUCAUAAUUAUUUCUCCCCAUUUUGAAUUGUUUUUAAACUAUAAUUUUUUCUUCUUCUUCUUCCAAAAUUUAUUCAAAACUAUAGAAUAAAGUUCGCAUAUUAAUUUUUUUAUGCUUUCCAAAAUUGUUUGAUAUUUUCAAAAUAUAUUGCAUUAAAAAAUUAAAUAUUUAGAUUUUAUUGAAAUGUUAAUUCAAAGUAAUGUUUGUGUUUAAAAACAUGUUUUUCAAAAUUCUUUUCAAUGUCCAAAACACGUUUUCAUUUCCAAAAAAAAUCACGUAUUCAAAACAUGUUUGCUUUCUUAUAAUAGGUUCAUGUUUUCAAAAAACAUAAAUUUCAAAAAAAUUGUCACAUCUUAAAGAAUAUUCAAAAUAUCGUAAUUAUUACUUUAUUUUUUGAAAAAAAUCAAGAAAAACAGAAAAAAAAAUGUAUAUUAUGCUACAGUAUAUUCUUAAAAUUUCGCCCUCGCCAUUUGUUAGCAUGAGCUGUUUGUUCGAGUGGCUAGCAGCACGUGGUCGAGUUUUUGAGGUCAUGAGUUUGAUCCUUCAACUCAGUGGUUGUUUUGGAUUUUUAUUCACGCCUUACAAAUACAAGUCAUUUUGGUACCUGCCAGCGGCCUUGCCAGACUCGAACUGCCGUGCAUCCGACGUGCUAUUUGACGAUAAAAGAGAAUAUGUUGCUUGACUAUAAUUAAAAAAAUGUGGGCACAUGCCAAUAAAAGAGGAUAUGCUGGUUUGACUCUGAUUAAAAAAAUGUUGGCAAGUGAGCGUCGAAAUAAUUAAAGAGAAUAAACCCUGGUAAAGUAGGGACUACCUGGUUACGUGCUUAUUAUACCAAAGAAACGGGAUUUCCUGCAAUUAGUACUUCAACCGGUUACACCAUCAUAGGAGAGAGUAGUCGAAGCAACUAUGCCACGAAGGUCGCCGUGCUGCACAAAAUGAGGAGGCAACCGCAACCUAGACACGGAGGCAGACUCGGAGAAAAAAAAGCGCAAGUUGGGUGGUGGCCACCACUCCAGCAACCCCAUCAAUAUCAAGAACUCGUGGGCCAAACAUGAUCUCAAGAACAUCGCCGGGGAGACCUUUUGAUGGACACAUCAAUUAUCUCUCCUGAUACUUCUCGUUAAAAAUAUCUUUCUAGUUCUAACGCACGGGCAUAUGUGCUAGUGAUAUAUAAAAUAUGUUGUGCCAAUGAGCACACGGGCUAGCGAGACUCGCCAUGCUUUCAUGUCAUACCGGAGUCCAAACACUCAACUGGAGGGUCCAACCUUAGCGACAGAGUCUUCUUUUGUUGGGAGAAUCUAUAUAUCCGCGAGUGUUAUAUCUCGCAUCUGGUUUACGCGCAGUGCACCUAACCACUAGGCUUUGCCUUACAUUCAUGACAGAGUAGUAAAGCUAGAUUGUUUAAGUCCACACGAGUCAAGGUUUUCAAUGUUUCUUCUCCAUUUUUUUUCAUUUUUUCAUUUUUGUUUUUAUAUUUAUUUCUGUCGGGUUUGUUUGAUCCCUUUCGAGGGCAUAAUAGAGGAACCACACCGUGGUGAUGUGGAUGGGUUUAUAGAUACCAUCACUGUAGGGGAAACGAGGAAGGUUUUCGAUGCACGAAUCACUAGCAUACAUUUUCAUGUUUUACGCUAAUUUGCAAUAUUUGCUAGUCGUUGCUUAAUUGGUUGCGGAAACUGUGGAAACCUUAGUGUUCCUGAUAUUAUUAUUUUGUUCCACGGUUUAUUCUGUGAUAACUCUAUUAGUAUGGGCGGUAUUAUUCCUAAAUGGUUAAGUCUGAACUGUACAAAGGGCCCCAUCUUUGGAGGCAUCUAUGCUUCACACCUAGCUGCGCAUUUUAACAUAGCUAUUAGGCAUUAUGAGAAGGAAGAAAAAUUGCUACCCCCUGUUUAUUUAGAUUAUAAUAGUAUGGUGGCACAUGAUUUUAUUGUUAAGAAUAAGGAAGGGGAGCUUAAAUACAAAUUGUUCUUUGAUAAACAUCAUCCUGAGACUAUUACCCUGCCUGCUCCUUCCUUGUUUGAUUUAUCUGCAGGCAAGUACCUCGUUCCAUUAGAGGCUAUUCACGCCUACCGAAACCCUACAUCAGCCAUAGAGCCAGAGUCGGAACCACAAGUUGAUUCUCCAUGACAGUCUAAUUACCAUUGGGAUCCAGAAAUGAUUGCCACCAGUGGCAAUCAGAGUCUUCUUCGCAGUACGACCCCAACUAUUACUAUGGAUAUCCGCCAGGCCAGCCGUGGCCAUAGACCAACUUAGGUCAAAAGCCUAAACUUGGGGGAGUACGUAUUUCCCGCCGACAUUACAUUCAUGUUCGCACACUCAUUGCUAGAUGUCGGUGCUCAUACUUUUUCAUUGUAUCAUCCAUACUAGUUCAUUUCCUUUUUAAGCUUUCUUCUUGUGUGUUUAAUAAACCUUAAGAAAAACCAAAAACAUUAGUUGUAGCUUUUAGCUAGUUUUAAUUUCCAUGCUCGUAGUAGUAAUUAAAAAGAAAACCCAAAAAAAAGAUUUCAUGUUCUUCUUUUGCUUGUUGGGAGCUUUCCCGUGUAAAUAGUUUUAUUUCUUUUCUUUUCUUUGGGGGUCGAUAGGAGAAGACCAUGAUUAAAUUGUUGAAGUGGCUCUUAUAUGUAUUUUUGUUGAUCUGACAAAAGAGCCCAUAUUGCCUCGACUUCUCCUGUUUAUUGAAUGCUUGCAGAUUCCAGCUUAGUCCAAUGCACGUGCACUAUUAUUAUUAUCCACAUCAUUCGGUCGUGCAAGUGAAAGGCAAUUAUGACGAUAUAUGAUGGACUGACUGAGAUGAGAAAAGCUGGUAUGAACUCAACCUGUCUUGUUUUUGUAAAUAUGAUUAGUUCAUCGUUCCUGAUUCAGCCUAUUAUGAAUAAACAUGUUUGCAAUGACAACUAGAGAUCAUAGUUUCUUGUGCCAUGCUUGAUUAGCUAGGAGCUUAUAAUGGUUUACCUUGCGUGCCAACAUGCUAUUAAAAUGGUUGUGAUGUGGUAUGAUAGGGUGGUAUCCUCCUCUGAACGAUUCGAGUGGCUUGACUUGGCACAUAUUCACGCAUGUAGUUGAAACAAAAUCAACAUAGCCUCUACGAUAUUUAUGUUCAUGGUGAAUUAUAUCCUACUCAUGCUUGCAUUCGGUGCUGAUUAAUUUUAAUGCAUGUUUAUGACUGUUGUCGCUCUCUAGCUGGUCGCUUCCCAGUCUUUUGCUAGCCUUCACCUAUACUAAGCGGGAAUACUACUUGUGCAUCCAAUCCCAUAAACCCCAAAGUUAUUCCAUAUGAGUCCACCAUACCUACCUAUUUACGGUAUCUACCUGCCGUUGCAAGUAAAUUUGUAUGUGCCAAACUCUAAACCUUCAAAUAAAUAUCAUGUUUUGUAUGCUCGAAUAGCUCAUGUAUCAACUAGGUUUGUCUGUAUCUUUCAUGUUAGGCGGGUUAUUCUCAAGAGGAGUGGACUCCGCUCCUCACUCGCGAGAAAAUGGCUGGUCACCCGGAUGCCUAGUCCCAUGCUUUAUGCAAAUCAAAUCAAAAUAAUUGCAAACAAAAUUGCCCCUGGGACUCUUGUUAGUUGGAGGCACUCGUUGUUUCGAGCAAGCCAUGGAUUGAUGCUUGUUGGUGGAGGGGGGGUAUAAAAUUUUCCAUUCUGUUUGGGAACCGCCUAUAAUGUGUGUAGCAUGGAAGAUAUCACCAUCUCUUGGUUGUUAUGUUGACAAUGAAAGUAUACCGCUCAAAAUAUUAUUUACCUCUAUUUCAAAAUCGAGCUCUGGCACCUCUACAAAUCCCUGCUUCCCUCUGCGAAGGGCCUAUCUAUUUACUUUUAUGUUGAGUCAUCAUCCUCUUAUUAAAAUGCACCAGUUGGAGAGCACCGUUGUCAUUUGCAUUCAUUACUAUUAUUUUACAUUGAAUAUGACUUGACUGGAUCUCUUUUACCAUGAAUUACAAUGUCUAGUCAGUCCUUGAUCUUUAAAGGUGCUCUACAUUUAUGUUUUGCGGUCUCAGAAAGGGCUAGCGAGAUACCAUCUUGUUAUAUCAUAUCAUGAUUGUUUUGAGAAAGUGUUGUCAUCCGAGAUUUAUUGUUAUUGCUCGCUAGUUGAUUAUGCCAUUGAUAUGAGUAAACAUGAUACAUAAAUGUUAUUGGAAUAUGGUUAGUUCAUAAUCUUUGCUGAAAACUUGAAUGCUGGCUCUACAUAUUUACAACAACAAGAGCAAACAGAGUUUGUAAAAGUUUUUCUUUAUCACUUUCAGUUUAUCAACUGAAUUGCUUGAGGACAAGCAAAGGUUUAAGCUUGAGGGAGUUGAUACGUCUCCGUCGUAUCUACUUUUCCAAACACUUUUGCCCUUGUUUUGGACUCUAACUUGCAUGAUUUGAAUGGAACUAACCCGGACUGACGUUGUUUUCAGCAGAAUUGCCAUGGUGUUAUUUUUGUGCAGAAAUAAAAGUUCUCGGAAUGACCUAAAAAUCAAAGGAGAAUUAUUUUGAAAUAUAUAAAAAAUAUUGGAAGGAAGAUCCACGUCAGGGGGGCCUCCACCUGUCCACGAGGGUGGAGAGCGUGCCCUACCCCCCUGGUGCUACCUCUUGAGCACUGCGUUGGUUUUCCCUUGAAGAGGAAAGGGUGAUGCAGUAAAGUAGUGUAAGUAUUUCCCUCAGUUUUUGAGAACCAAGGUAUCAAUCAAGUAGGAGAUCACGCUCGAGUCCCGCGCACCUACACAAACAAAUAAGAACCUCGCAACCAAUGCAAUAAAGGGGUUGUCAAUCCCUUCACGGUCACUUACGAGAGUGAGAUGUGAUAGAUAGGAUAAGAUAAUAUUUUUGGUAUUUUUAUGAUAAAGAGAAAUAAAGAUGCAAAGUAAAAUAAACAGCAAUAGAAAUAACUAAGUAUCACCUGGGCGCACCCCCCUGCCUCGUGGACCCCCUGACGCUCCACCGACCUCAACCCUGACUCCAUAUAUUCACUUUCGGGGAGAAAAAAACCAGAGAGAAAGAUUCAUCAUGUUUUACGAUAUGGAGCCGCCGCCAAGCCCUAAACUCUCUCGGGAGGGCUGAUCUGGAGUCUGUUCGGGGCUCCGGAGAGGGGAAUCCGUCGCCAUCGUCAUCAUCAACCUUCCUCCAUCACCAAUUUCAUGAUGCUCACCGCCGUGCGUGAGUAAUUCCAUCGUAGGCUUGCUGGACGGUGAUGGGUUGGAUGAGAUUUAUCAUGUAAUCAAGUUAGUUUUGUUAGGGUUUGAUCCCUAGUAUCCACUAUGUUCUGAGAUUGAUGUUGCUAUGACUUUGCUAUGCUUAAUGCUUGUCACUAGGGCCCGAGUGCCAUGAUUUCAGAUCUGAACCUAUUAUGUUUUCAUCAAUAUAUGAGUGUUCUUGAUCCUAUCUUGCAAGUCUAUAGUCACCUACUAUGUGUUAUGAUCCGGCAACCCCGAAGUGACAAUAAUCGGGACCACUCCUGGUGAUGAUCGUAGUUUGAGGAGUUCAUGUAUUCACUAUGUGUUAAUGCUUUGGUCUGGUACUCUAUUAAAAGGAGGCCUUAAUAUCCCUUAGUUUCCGCUAGGACCCUGCUGCCACGGGAGGGUAGGACAAAAGAUGUCAUGCAAGUUCUUUUCCAUAAGCACGUAUGACUAUAUUCGGAAUACAUGCCUACAUUACAUUGAUGAAUUGGAGCUAUUUCUGUGUCACCCUAGAUUAUGACUGUUACAUGAUGAACCGCAUCCGACAUAAUUCUCUAUCACCAAUCCAUUGCCUACGAGCUUUCCAUAUAUUGUUCUUUGCUUAUUUACUUUUCCGUUGCUAUUGCUAUCAUCACUAUAAAACAACAAAAACAUUACUUUUGCUAUCGUUACCUUUUGCUACCGUUACCACUACUAUCAUAUUACUUUGCUACUAAACACUUUGCUGGAGAUAUUAAGUUUCCUGGUGUGGUUGAAUUGACAACUCAGCUGCUAAUACUUGAGAGUAUUCUUUGGCUCCCCUUGUGUCGAAUCAAUAAAUUUGGGUUCAAUACUCUACCCUCGAAAACUGUUGCGAUCCCCUAUACUUGUGGGUUAUCAUUGCUCCUGCAGCGGGUCUUGCACCUAGCGGUGCUUCUAGGACGUAAUUCUUCUGUGUAGCAAUGAGGAUAAUUCUCAAGUUAUGGACCCAGUCCGUGUAGUUGCUACCAUCAUCUUUCAACUUAGCUUUCUCUACGAACGCAUUAAAAUUCAAAGGAACAGUAGCAGGGGCCAUUGAUCUACAAUAACAUAGACAUGCAAAAUACUAUUAGGUGCUAAGUUCAUGAUAAAUUAAAGUUCAAUUAAUCAUAUUACUUAAGAACUCCCACUUAGAUAGACAUCCCUCUAGUCAUCCAAAUGAUCACGUGAUCCAUAUCAACUAAACCAUGUCUGAUCAUCACGUGAGAUGGAGUAGUUUCAAUGGUGAACAUCACUAUGUUGAUCAUAUCUACUAUAUGAUUCACGCUCGACCUUUCGGUCUCAGUGUUCCGAGGCCAUAUCUGCAUAUGCUAGGCUCGUCAAGUUUAACCCGAGUAUUCUGCGUGUGCAAAACUGGCUUGCACCCGUUGUAUGUGAACGUAGAGCUUAUCACACCCGGUUAUCACGUGGUGUCUCGGCACGAUGAACUAUAGCAAUGGUGCAUACUCAGAGAGAACACUUGUACCUUGAAAUUUAGUGAGAGAUCAUCUUAUAAUGCUACCGCCGUACUAAGCAAAAUAAGAUGCAUAAAGGAUAAACAUCACAUGCAAUCAAAAUAAGUGAUAUGAUAUGGCCAUCAUCAUCUUGUGCCUUUGAUCUCCAUCUCCAAAGAACCGUUAUGAUCACCAUCAUCACCGGCUUGACACCUUGAUCUCCAUCGUAGCAUCGUUGUCAUCUCGCCAACUAUUGCUUCUACGACUACCGCUACCGCUUAGUGAUAAAGUAAAGCAAAAACAAGUGUGAUGUCCUCUACUUUGUUGUUGCAAGUUUUACGUGGCUGCUACGGGCUUCUAGCAAGAACCGUUCUUAUCUACGCCUCAAAACCACAACAAUUUUUCGUCAAGUGUGUUGUUUUAACCUUCAACAAGGAUCGGGCGUAGUCAAACUCGAUUCAACUAAAGUUGGAGAAAUAGACACCCACUAGCCACCCGUGUGUGAAGCACCUCGGUAGAACCAGUCUCAUGAACGCGGUCAUGUAAUGUCGGUCUGAGCCACUUCAUCCAACAAUACCGCCAAAUCAAAGUAAGACGUUGCUGGUAAGAAGUAUGACUAUUAUCGUCCACAACUCAUUGUGUUCUACUCAUGCAUAUAACAUCUACGCAUAGACCUGGCCCGGAUGUCACUGUUGGGAAACGUAUUAUUUCAAAAAAAAAUCCUACAAUCACGCAAGAUAUAUCUAGGAGAAGCAUAGCAAUGAGCGGGGAGAGUGUGUCCACGUACCCUCGUAGACCGAAAGCGGAAGCAUUUAGUAACACGGUUGAUGUAGUCGAACGUCUUUGCGAUCCAACCAAUCCAAACACCUAACGUACGGCACCUCCGCAUUCAGCACACGUUCAGCUCGAUGACAUCCCUCGAGCUCUUGAUCUAGUUGAGGCCGAGGGAUAGUUCCGUCAUCGCGAUGGCGUGGCGACGGUGAUGAUGAAGUUACCGGCGCAGGGCUUCGCCUAAGCACUACGACGAUAUGACCGAGGUGUGUAACUGUGGAGGGGGGCACCGCACACGGCUAAGAGAAACUUGUGUCUUUGGGGUGCCCCCUCCCACGUAUAUAAAUGGAGGGAGGAGGCCGGCCCAAGGGGGGGCGCCACAUGUGGGGAGUCCUACUAGGACUCCCUUGUCCUAGUAGGAUUCCCCUCUCCUUUCCUUUUACGGAGGGGGAAAGGGGGGAAGGAGAGGAGGGGAAGAGGGAAAGGGGGGCACGCCCCCUCCCCUUCCUAUUCGGACUCCACUUGGGGGGGACGCGCACGCCUCCCCCUUGUGGGUUGUCCCCUCUUCUCUCCCAUGGCCCAUAAGGCCCAUGAUUUCCCCCAGGGGGUUCCCGUAACCUCCCGGUACUCCGAAAAAAUUCCCGAAUCACUCGGAAUCAUUCCGAUGUUCAAAUGCAACCUUACAAUAUAUGAAUCUUUACCUCUCAACCAUUUUCGUGAUCUCAUCUGGGACUCCGAACAAACUUCAGUCAUCAAAUCACAUAACUCAUAAUACAAAUUGGCAUCGAACGUUAAGUGUGUGGACCCUACGGGUUUGAGAACUAUGUAGACAUGACCGAGACACAUCUCCGGUCAAUAACCAAUAGCGGAACCUAGAUGCUCAUAUUGGCUCCUACAUAUCUACGAAGAUCUUUAUCGGUCAAACCGCAUAACAACAUACGUUGUUCCCUUUGUCAUAUGUAUGUUAUUUGCCCGAGAUUCGCUCGUCGGUAUCCUCAUACCUAGUUCUAUCUCGUUACCGGCAAGUCUCUUUACUUGUUCCAUAAUGCAUCAUCUGGUAACUAACUCAUUAGUCACAUUGCUUGCAAGGCUUAUAGUGAUGUGCAUUACCGAGAGGGCCCAUAUAUACCUCUCUGAUACACGGAGUGACAAAUCCUAAUCUCGAUCUAUGCCAACUCAAGAAACACCAUCGGAGACACCUGUAGAGCAUCUUUAUAAUCACCCAGUUACGUUGUGAUGUUUGAUAGCACACUAAGUGUUCCUCCGGUAUUCGGGAAUUGCAUAAUCUCAUAGUCAUAGGAACAUGUAUAAGUCAUGAAGAAAGCAAUAGCAAUAAAAUUAAACGAUCAUUGUGCUAAGAUAACGGAUGGGUCUUGUCCAUCACAUCAUUCUCUAAUGAUGUGAUCCCGUUCAUCAAAUUACAACACAUGUCUAUGGUUAGGAAACUUAACCAUCUUUGAUUAACGAGCUAGUCUAGUAGAGGCAUACUAGGGACACUCUGUUUGUCUAUGUAUUCACACAUGUACUAAGUUUCCGGUUAAUACAAUUUUAGCAUGAAUAAUAAAGAUUUAUCAUGAUAUAAGGAAAUAUAAAUAACAACUUUAUUAUUGCCUCUAGGGCAUAUUUCCUUCAGGAAGAGCAUUGCGGGUGGGAGGGAGAAGGGGAAUUAAGAGAGUGUAGGUUUCGGUUUGGGCCUCCGCGCGCUAUGUGUACACAUGUGUUGGUGGGUCAAUAGUAGUGGCGCCAGGUUUAUACCCCACACUACUACUAUGGCCUAUCCCGGGGGUACGAUAGAGACCACUUAGUAGUAGCGAGGGAUUUAUACCCCUCGGUACUACUAUCAACUUAGUACUAGUGAGGGAUUUAUACCCCUUGCUACUACUAUCAACUUAGUAGUAGUGAGGGAUUUAUACCCCUCGAUACUACUAUGGCCAGUCCCGGGGGGCACGGUGGAGACCACUUAGUAGUAGUGUGGGGUUUAUACCGCUCGCUACUACUAUCAACUUAGUAGUAGCGUGGGUUCUAUACCCCUCUCUACUAAUAAUUAGCAGCAGUGUGGCCCAUAUACCCCUUGCUACUGUUAAGCAUCUAUCUAUAAAUUAUUUUCUAGUAGUGCAUCAAUGGCGGCGAAAUCAGUCAUUCUGCUUGUUUUCCCUACUAGCUCUCUGACGUCCAGAACAAGUUUACGGUCAUAAGGUGCAAUGCCCUUGCCUUCAUGAGUGACACGAUGACACGGGAACGGGCUUCCAAGCCUAUGGUGUCGCAUCGUGUCGUGGUCUGCUAAACUUAGUGGACGGAUGCUACUCCAAUAUCGGUUGAUCCUAUACUACGGUACCAAGGAAGACACGCAACUACUAUAUAUAUUUCUUCAAGUCAGUCAACACAAGUAAACUCUGGGAGUUCAACUGGUGCAGCUAUGCAAUGCUAAUGGAGACAACACAAUUCAACUUUAGCACUUCACACAUAAGAAAAACCACGUUCAAUGGCACACACCUUAGAGUGUACCUAUGGUGGUUGAAUGGGCUAUAAGAAAUGUGAGUCCAUGUGAAGAUGCCAAACAUAAUAACACGGCUAAUUACACAUGCAGUGGCAGCAGCAACAAGUGCGUGAAUUCAACAAAUGAUCUAGGGUACACAUGCAACGGUGUCCUUGAGUAUGACAACAACCCUUAUCUUCUAGACAAAUGCAUGGUAUGCUACUAAUUUAUUUGCUACAAAUUCCAAUGAAUUGUGUCCUUUGCUUUGUACAUACCCAAUUAUAAUAUUUUAUUAUGCUAAUACAAUGUAGCCUUCAAUUUAAACCAAGGUUUGCAUCCAUUAAUUAUGUUAGGUUCAUAUGACUUCACUACAUAAAUAGGUAGAUAAUGCAUAAGACUGAGAUUGUAGCUAGGGAUGAAAAUCUAAAUACGGCAUGAAUCUAACAAUUAUGAGUAAUGUCUUUGUGACAAGAACUUUCUUUGUCUUUUAUUCCCAUGUUUGAACUAGUAUAGGUCAGGGUUACACAUUAUGGUGCACAUCACUUUAUUUGUCACCGUUACAUUGAACACCCAUUGACUAAACAACGAUAAUCCAUCCGUCUUGUAUUACAGGUCUUCAUUUCAUUGGCCACCGAUGCUUGUAAGACUACUCCCAGAUGGUUGUUGUUGUGGAUAUGGUUGUUGAGGUUGGUGUGGUUGCUGGGGGAAUGGUUGUUGGGGUUGCUGGGAAAUUGUUUGUUCUAGUUGCUGGGAUAAUUGUUGUUGGGGCUGCAAAAAUGGUUGUUGUGGUUGCAGGAUGGAUGGUUGCUGGGGUUGGGGCUGGGGAAAUGAUUGUUGUGAUUGUUGGGGUUGCUGGGAAAAUGGUUGUUGCGGUUGAAGGGGGAAUGGUUGUUGUGGUUAUAGAGGGAAAGGUUGUUGUGGUUGUUGAGGGAAUGGUUGUUGUGGUUGUUGNNNNNNNNNNNNNNNNNNNNNNNNNNNNNNNNNNNNNNNNNNNNNNNNNNNNNNNNNNNNNNNNNNNNNNNNNNNNNNNNNNNNNNNNNNNNNNNNNNNNNNNNNNNNNNNNNNNNNNNNNNNNNNNNNNNNNNNNNNNNNNNNNNNNNNNNNNNNNNNNNNNNNNNNNNNNNNNNNNNNNNNNNNNNNNNNNNNNNNNNNNNNNNNNNNNNNNNNNNNNNNNNNNNNNNNNNNNNNNNNNNNNNNNNNNNNNNNNNNNNNNNNNNNNNNNNNNNNNNNNNNNNNNNNNNNNNNNNNNNNNNNNNNNNNNNNNNNNNNNNNNNNNNNNNNNNNNNNNNNNNNNNNNNNNNNNNGAAUGGUUGGUGGGGAAUUAUUUGUUCUGGUUGCUGGGGAAUUAUUUGUUCUGGUUGCUGGGGGAAUGGUAGUUGGGGUUGGGGAAAUGGUUGUUGGGGUUGCUGGGGGAAUGGCUGUUGUGGUUGCAGAGGGAACGAUUGUUGGGUCUGGGGAAAUGGUUGUUGUGGUUGCCAGGAAAAUGGUUGUUGGGGCUGUGGAAAAGGUUGUUGUGGUUGUUGGGGUUGCUGGGGGAAUGGUUGUUGUGGUUGUAAGGGGGUCGGUUGUUGGGGUUGGGGAUAUAAUUGUUGUGAUUGCUGGAGAAAUUGUUGUUGGGGUGUGGAAAAUGGUUGUUGUGAUGGAUAUGGUUGCUAUGAUGGAUAUGGUUGUUGUGGAUAUGGCUGUUGUGGAAAUGGUUGUUGUUGAUGGGAAAAUGAUUGUUGAGGUGAUUGUAACUCUUUGUUGCUAGGGUUUAGCUGCCUAGCGGCAAUGGCGGUGUUCAUCGCCAUGGCAAGGAGGACAAAGAUGAGGAAGGUCUUCAUGUUGGAUUUGUGGUUACUACUGCUUGCUUGCCUUUGAUGCUUGUGGUCUAGGUGUGUGAAGUUUGGUUGAUGGAAGGUGUCCUUGGUGGUGCAUGUGUAUUUAUAGUUUUCAUGGCAUGGCUUGCUUUCAUCUUUGCACUCGCUCUUUGAAAAAGUGCAUCAAUGCUUAUCCAACUAAUCAUUUGGUUUGUUGUGUUUGGUGCAACUACUUACU